rnacentral:lncRNA from 1 species
UUUUUUCUUUUUUUUUUUUUUUGUAAUUUUAUAAAGCAGGGAAUGGAUGCAAUUUAAUAUAGCAGCUUUUCCAAGCAAGCCUCUGGAAUCUCCUGUAAACCCCCAUGAUUUGGUCAAGGGAGGAUAUUAGGGGAAGCAGUGAAGCCCAACAGUUAGCAUCCUCCCCUUUCUCCUAAAAGGUUGAAGCUGAAGUGGAACACGCCAUUAAGUAAUUUUAUAAAGCAGGGAAUGGAUGCAAUUUAAUAUAGCAGCUUUUCCAAGCAAGCCUCUGGAAUCUCCUGUAAACCCCCAUGAUUUGGUCAAGGGAGGAUAUUAGGGGAAGCAGUGAAGCCCAACAGUUAGCAUCCUCCCCUUUCUCCUAAAAGGUUGAAGCUGAAGUGGAACACGCCAUUAAGAAAAAAAAAAAAAACAAAAGGAGUUCUGCAUCUCUCCGGCGCUGAGGGAACAAAUGGGCGUGGGGAUGAUUCUUCUUCCAUUCCAAGCUUAUCAACGUCGUAACAAGGUAGCUCUAGGGACAAACUAUGGCUAGAUUGAAUCCUUUUUAUUUAUUAUAUUAUGAUAUUUAGAUAUAUAGCUAUGCUUAGGGGUAUGGAACUUAGCAAGCUUUCUCGAUCAACUGCUCCUGGGGAAUCCCAAAAGAUUUCAGGCAACUCUGACUCAGAAGCACAAAAACUCUGCUUUGCUGGAAACCCAAUUCUCAAAAAUCUCGGAAGAAAGAAAGAGAAAUUUAGCUUAAAAAAAAUCCAAAACCUCUAAUUCUUGAAAACUUAACUUUAGCCACGACUCUUGAAUAUUUGGCCCAGGGUACUCUUUUGGUUUCUUCUGCGAAAUAUCUACUCUAAGUUCGGGUAAUGAUUAACAACAUCUAGGCCAGUUUGUUUCUUAACGGGGACAAAGUUGAUUAAUUCGUUAAAUCCAAUAUGCAAUUGCACCAUCUGAAAUUAUUACUAGAUAAACACAGUUGGCAAAGCAUUCAAUUUUAUUUUUUUUUUGGUAACCCGGAACAUGUCCCGACCAGAAUCCUUAGGAUCCGAGCCGGCACACCAAACCGGAGGGAAGCCGACAGCCCCAUACAGCUUCCCGGACGAGUCAGGAUGUGCGACGCAGCGGGCACGAAUCGAAUCCUGGUCAGUGGAAAAACCAGCAACACAAGACCGACCCCUCAACCGCUGCGCCAUAUGCCCUGGGGGCCAUUCAAUUUCAGUUGCAUAACAACAAAAAGGAUUGUCGGGGAUAGACAUCAGAAAUUUGGAACAAGAAUAUCUAAAUGCGAUUCUUGCUAUGACAAAAGAGUGAAGCCUCAAAUUGAAAGUCAUAUAAAAAUGUACUAUAUUUUGAGAACAUGGAUAGAACCUGGAUGAAAAUUACAAUAUGCAAUGUAAAAUAUUUAUCUUUAUUUUCACAAAAUAUACUACUUUAAUGUGCAUAGUGUAGUCAAUGUCUAUGUAUAAUACACUACACCUACAUACAUAAAGUACAAUUCUUUUUCUAUAUUUUGUAUGUAUCCAAAUAUUUUCUUGUAUUGAAAAAUGAAAAAAUAUUUAAAUAUAAUAUGCAAACCAUGUUAUUUUAAUAUAGCUAUUCAGAAAAAGUACACCUUAAAGAUGAUCCUUUGAAACAAUUGAGGGGAAACUAUCAUAUACAUGAUCAUCAUUCAUUUUUUAUAAAGUACAUGAUUUAAUACUUUACCUACAUACACGAUUUAAUAUAUAAGAUUUUGAUCUAAUAGUGCAUUAAAUUUGUUGUAGUGAAUCAUUUUUGUUUUUCUUUUCUACUACUUUCUUUUCCUUUUUAUUUCUUUUCCUUUUCACUUCUUCCAUGUCACUAUUUUCUUCACUUACCCAUAAGUAUUGCUAAUUGUGUGCUUAUUUAAAUAUUGUAGUUUUCUUUUAAUUAUAAUUUCAUUCUUACUUUGAUUUAUUAACUUAUUUAUUUAUAGUAUUAAGAAAUUCAUGAUAAACUAUAUAGCGUGACAAAAUAUCAAUUACAUGUCAUAAUCAAAGGAGUAUAUAAUUUAACUAUUUAACAGAUAUUAGCAAACUAGAAUCUUUAUUAUAUAUUUCAAAGUAUAUGCCAAAUAAAUAAAGUAACUAGUAGUCGUAUGAAUUUUAUGCAUAGACAAUUAAACGUUAUGUGAUUAUGAUCUAUUUAUUUGUUAUUUUUUAUUAUCAAUUAAUUAAUGUAAAUGCCAUAUGGAAUAGUCUAUGUGGAUAGCUAAUAUAGACUUUGUUAUAGUGUAGAAUUUGUUAUCAUUAUUACUUUUUAAAAAAAAAUUUAGCAAAAGAAAGGUGAGAUUUAAGAAGAGGGAGAGGGAAGGGGAGAUUUGUGAUUAUUAUUACUUCUAACAGGAAAAAGUAAAUAGCACUAUAAAUAAAGAAUAUAUUUAUGAAAAUUAAAAAUAAUACAUAGAUAAUAAUAAUAAUAAAGAAAAAAAGAAAGUAGUUGGUCACAUGAAAGAAGGGAGAAAAAUUGAAAGCCAAAAAUAAAAGGGACAAAAGUAGAAAAGAAAUAUAAAUAUAAUUACUGCAAAGAACAGACACUUUUGCUUUUUUUUGUUUAAAUUUCUAGCAAGGAAGAUUCACUUUUAUCCUAAAACAUCAUGUAGGAGGGCAAAGUAUCUAUUUAAUGAGUUCAAGUAGGUAACAUGCAACUCGAGGCAAAGUUCAAAAGGAUUUUACUGCAUUUAACCCUAAAAGAAGUCACUAAAUAAUAUAAUAUACUAAUAUUAGAAUUGAGACUCUUACUGAGGGUUUUUUUUUUUGUGCACCACCACCACACCGCACUCCACCAAAGGCCACAAGAGAAUGAAAGCUCAAGUUUCGGAAUUUUUCCCUUUUGUAUAAUUUGCGUUCUGCCUCGUCUUGUCUCACUUAUUUUGAGCUUUAGAAAUAUCUCUUGAUCUUUGUAUUCUUCCUUAUAAUAGCAAAAUUUGCUCUCUUCCACUCAUGAACAUCCGUCUAUUUGACCGAAUUACAUAAAUCUUAGUGUCUUUAUCUUUUAUUAUUUUUCCUUUACAUUUUUAUUAUAGUUUUCAUUAUUAAUUUUGUGAGUAACCAAAUAACUUUUGUCCAAUUACUUUGGCCAAAUCCUAACACAUUUUAACUGAUCACAACACCAUUUGGUUCGUGUCCUAAUGGAAAUUGACCAUAAUGAGCAAGCCUAUAUUCUCCGGGAAAAUUCUGAUAGAAAAUCAUGAGCUCUCAAAAUUUAGUAGAUGUUGAAUGAAAAUGAAAACUUAAUUCGCUUUAAUUUGUUAUAGGCCUUGGCGGGCCUUUCGGUGCAUCCUUGGUUUCAGAUCAUUUUGGGUUCAAAAUUUUCCUCAGUUUCAUUUGGGCCCAACAUAAUCGAGUCCAAACACACUUUGGGCACUUGGUUUUCUCCUCAGAUUUUGCUUUAUGUCUCAUAUUUGUCCACUUCAGCCUUCGGUGGGAAGCUAAAAGCUCUUCUCAAUGUGAAUAAAUACGAGUUCCAAAAUAACAGAUAUUUUCCCAAUCUGAAAAGCUUUAAUAGCCUGAGAAAUAGAUAAAUUGAUUAACUUUCAAGGAACAGAAUGGAUUAAAUGACAUAUGCAUUACUGAAAAUUAGAAUUUCAAUAUGGGAGAAAGGACGUCCAACAACAUCAGGAGCAAUUCUUUUAGGCACAACAAUGCCAAAUUAUCUGCAAAGAAGAGUAUGAAAUUCUUGAUGAUUUUUGCAUACUCUUCCAAGCGCAUCAAGCUCCCCAAGCUAGUUGCUCAUGUAGUUGUUGCUAUAACUGAAUCAAAAUGUUACCAAUAGAUUUAUGAUCAUUCUUGAAAAUACAAAUCCGUGCUACAGUAGAGAGGGUCACAAAGAAAAAUUUGUCCUUGUCACUGAAAACGAUUUUAGUUUUGUUAUUAAUGAUUACAAACAAAUACAACAUCUAGGUAAAGUCAAUGGAUAGCGUUCAGGUUGAAUCUAAUUGAUCCAAAUCCAAGCUCACUGCAUUUGUCAAUUACCGAGACGCUCAUGGUUAGAAAAUUCAAACUCGAAACCUUAUGGAUCUAGCUAGUGAUUGGGUAUGAACAUGUAUUUCUUGAUGUGCAAUUAGAAAUAAGGACAAAAUACUCAUAAUCCCCCUGUACUUCUUAAUGAUACCACAUGAUCUCCCCAAGGUUAUAAAAUGUUCACUUAAUCCCUUGUGAUUUUUAUGUAAAUUGAAAAUUUGAUGAAAAAUAGUUUCUGUAACAUCAUUAGUUGAAAUGCUAGUGUCGGACUUACUUGAAUACUAAAUUAAAUAAGGGCCUAACCAUUUUGCUUACCGUCAUAAUGGGAUUAUGUGGAUAGAUGCAAAACUACAAGGUGAUUAAGUGGAUAUUUAUCCAAAACUAUAGAGGGUUAAAUAGAUAUUUUAAAAUUUCACCACAUGUACUUUUUGGAAAGUGUCUCGGUCAAUUGCUAUAACCAGAAAUUUUUCAUCUAUUUUUCACUUUAUAUAAAACCAAAGGAGGAUGAUAUAUGGACAUUUUGAAACAUUAAAGGGCGUCAUGUGAUAUCAUGCAAAAGUACAAGGAGUUACAAAUCAUUUACCCUGAAAACAAAUUCAAAAAAUAAUAAAAACAUAUUAAAUUCAAAGAUAACAAACCUAUAAUCCAAAUGCCAUUUUCAAAUAACAAAAUCAACAUUUUAUACUAUAUAUAUCUAUGUAUGUGUGUGUACACACACACACAUAGACCAUACAAAAUCCAAACUUGUAAUUCUUUCACAAUGUCUCAAUUCAGAUAGGGUGUGGGUUUGAAAAAUUGGAAAUCAACCUAGGAAAAUAAUGAGGGAUCUAGAUAACACUCAUCCCAUUGACGUGGGAGUUAAGAUCUUCUCCAUUAGAUUUCUUUAAAUAUAUUUAAAUUACUAUGACUUUAUAAAAUUAUCUGAUUAUGUCAUUACUUUUAUUUUAAUCUCUAGAUCAACAUACUAAAAAAUAAUAUUGCUUUGAGAAUAUUUUGGCAUUUAAUUUAUACUAAACAUUUGAAGAGUGAAAAAUGAGUCACAAUAAUAAACAGAUUUAUAGUGAUUAAUCAAACGAUAAAAUUUAGUCAAUUUCAUAUGAAAUUUUAUAUAUAACUUACACAAGUGAGGAAAUGGUGUCCAACAGCUUUUUCAAUUCCAAGAUCAUUUUGUCCACAUCUCUCACUGUUUUCGUCAAGCUAACCUAGUUGUAGAUAUCCUUUCUAAUGUUGGGUGUGUAGAUGUUUUGGACAAGUUUUAUCAUCAAGUUUCUGAACUACCUUCUUUAGCUCGAGGUGCGUUGAGGAAAUAAAAUGUUGAUGAUAAAACUUGAUGAUAAAACUCGAUCAAUAUUGAGCUCGAGUUCGAAUUGACCAAGUUGAGCUCGACCUAUCCAAGUCGAGCUCAAAGGUCGAGCUAACCGAGCUCGAGACUCGAGUUCAAAGGUAUUUAGUUCGUUAACUCGUGAGCCGACUCAAUUAUAUAUAUAUAUAACUUUUUAUUUUAGUAAUAAAAUUACACAUAUAUUCCUAAUAUUUUAUUAUUUGUUAAAAAUUUAUUAUUUUAUUUAUAUUUUAAAAAUAAAAUAAUUAUUUUUUUUAAGCUCGAACUCGAGUUUUACAUUUUGAUCUCAUUGAGUUCGAAAUUCAUAAAACUAAGUUGGGACUUUACUCAAUUAGGCCAAAGUUUGAUUUGGUUUGACUCGUUUGCACCCUAAUUGAAGCUAAAUGCAUUAGGCUUACCAUCAAUUAGGAAAUUAAUUGUUCAUUAGUUUGUAAAGAAAGUAGUACUUCUUGUUUUUUGGUUUUUUUUUUUUCCACUGCUUGUUUGGAGGUAAGGUUUAUGUCCAUCUCCUUUUUUAAAUUUAUUAAUAAAAUUUAGGGGUGGCGUCUCUCCCCCAUAUACGGGGUCUGCCAUUUAAAAAGAAAAAGAAAAUAUAUUUUGGACGGUAUUAUUUUUUAAAAUAAUUUUAUUAGGGUGUGAUGGAGAGAUUCUCUCCAUUGCAAUGGAGAGGAGCUCAGCCUACCUAAACUUACCCUCUUCAAAAUACUGAUAAACUUCGAUCCAUUUACUUGUUCCUCAAUUGAGAAAUGCCACGAAAGUGACGCAACCAGAAUUUAAGAAAGCAUCGCAGAUCUCAAACCUGUCGGCUUAGAUAAUAUCAAGAUGCAUUUCUUGGAUGCACUCAAGAUGAUUUUGCUGCAAAGCCAGGAAUUCCUAGGACCAGUUUCUAUGGAAUGAACGGCUUUGCUACGAACAGUAUAUACGUUUUUCAGCUAGUAAGUAACUUAUUGCCUGUUACUUUUAAUAACACACCUAAACUAAAACCAUGCCUAAUUCGGUAAUUCCUCACUUAGCCAUAUGUACUUUUAAUAAAUUAUUGCCUGUUACUUUUAGACAUAUGUACCUUAGCAUUUUUUGUAAUUUAGCUAAUGUUUUCUUAAUAAUAAACUUAUAAAAAUUACAAAAGUACUUUUUAUAAAUUUAACGGUGACAAGUAUGUCAAAUGGACGUAAAAGUCCAUUCAUGCCUACUGCAGACUUAACAAAUUUGCAAAAAUGAUUAAAAAGAAACUAAACUGGAGGGUGCAAUUUCAUCCAAUAAUUAGAGUUUAAGGGUACAAAAUAGAAAUACAUAACAAAUUAGGGUUCAAAAUGAUGUUUAACAUCCUGACUAACCGUGAUCGAUAGGUUUGCAAUCACAUAUAAUUUCGUGAAUUUCCUGAAUAAAAAACCAAAGUUGGAUGGCUACUUAGGGUACAAUGUAUUCUAAUUGAUUGUGUAAAGUGCAAAUCCAUCAUGAAUUAUAGGGUACAAAGUGGAUUUAGUCAUUUAUAAAAUACCAAUGUUACUUUUAAUGUUGUACUAACUAACAUAGUCCUUAGUCAAUUCCCAAGUUUUAGGUUUAUUUUCAAUUGUUCCUAUAUGUUUCAAGGACUUUUCAAUUGUUCUUCUUUCCAAGUCUCUUACACAUAUAUUUUUUUUCAACAAGAAGUCCUCGUCGAAAUUGAUGUCAAGAUAAAGGUGUCCAUCUUAAAUUUUUCAUAUCUUCUUAGAUACUUCGUGCCAAGCAUUUCAAUUGGUUUCAUAUCUUCUUUCCUAUGUCAAGGAAGAUAUAUAUUGGUAAAAAAAAAAAAAAAAAAGACACAAGCACAAACAAUAUGUGGUCACUGGAUAAAACACAAAGGAAAAAAUAAUGUCUGUUAACAUAGAAAAUUAUUUAAAUCUUGUAUGUUUCUACUUGGACACGGAGAUCAAGGUCAACUAGACUUCCACAAAGUUAUAUAUUUCGUGGAGGUAAGCGAUGUUGUCAAAGCAAAUUAAAGCCUAGAUUACAGAUUUUGUCCUUUAAGACACUCUCAGAUGGAGGCAAUUGAAUAGAGAAGUUUGUGCCCCGCGUGAAUGGUCCAGCGGCAGUGCCUCUCACCAGUGAACAUUGAGGUCACAAGUUCGAGUCUCCGCUCCGCUGGAUUCCUCCGCGCACUUAAUGUGUUCAGGCCGGGUUGGGGCGCCGAGCCCGGGCUGCAGGGGAUUAGUCGGGCCAAGUAAGGAUUGACCCGGACACCCCUGUGUCAAAAAAAUAAAAAGAAUAGAGAAGUUUGCAUGUGUACUAUUCAAACCAAACUAUUAAUGUGCUAGUGUUUGUCUAUGCAUGUCUUGACUCUUGAUUGUCAAACUAGAAGAGAUAGCAUUCAUUAUCAAGGCUACUCACCAUAUCCCCUCUCACAGAGAAUAUUACUUCACAAUACAAGGACUCAGUCUCUUGCUAAGUAUCACUGAAUAGGAAUCAGGGCAUAGCAAUGAUAUGUUCACUUAGGCACUGCUUGUUUUGAGGGAAUAGGAGGGAAAGGAAAAGAAAUGGAGGGACUCUUCCCCUUGGACAAGCGGUCAAACAUGCUCUUUCUUGCAGUGAAGUCUUUUCCUUGUAGUGGUCUCUUCCCCUUGAACAAGCGGUCAAAAAUACUCUUCUUCUGUCGUCCUUCCUUCGCCUCUCCAUUGGUUUUAGUAUCACAAACAAUGAAAGUUAUAUUGAACUUCCUGUCUCGGCGACGUUAUAUUCUUGUCUCGAUAACUGCAUGUUAUUGCUGUAUCACUUCUCUUGUUAAGUUCACAAACUUAGUAAGAGUUGGAACAUAGAAUUUUAACAUUUAAUAAUUGAAUAAAUUCGCCGGUAAACUACUUCAGUAAUUAUUCUUUCUUUUAUUUUUACAUUCUGCAUUACAGUAUACUCCUGAAUGAGAGAACUACUCCUAUAAAAAGGAGCAUUUUGUACUGCAAAACCAAAAAAUCAAAACAACAAACAAAGAAGCCAGCAACCGCUGCAAAAGAUGGUUGCCAUUUCCUCCCCACAUUUUGUAAUAUUCCCCUUCAUGGCUCAAGGCCACACUAUCCCCCUCCUCUACCUUGCUCGCCUUCUCUGGCAGCGCAAUGUCGCUGUCACGGUGUUCACCACCCCAGCUAACUCUCCAUCAAUCCGUGCUACUCUCCAUGACACUGCCAUCUCAAUUAUUGAACUACCUUUCCCAGCACAUGUUGAUGGCAUCCCUCCAGGGGUUGAAAAUACUGAUAAACUUCCAUCCAUGUUACUAUUUGUUCAAUUUGCAAAUGCCACGAAACUCAUGCAGCCACAUUUUGAGAAGGCACUUGAAGAUCUCAAACCCGUUGGCUGCAUAAUAUCUGAUGGAUUUCUAGGAUGGACUCAAGAUUCUGGCGCAAAGCUAGGAUUUCCAAGAAUUGGUUUCUAUGGAAUGAGCAGCUUUGCUACUACCAUGUAUGCGAUUAUUGGCCAAGAAAGGCCACAUGCACUUACUAUGUCACCUGAUGAGCCCUUUUCCAUCCCAAAUUUCCCUAAACUAACCUUGACAAGAAAUGAUUUCAAUCCACCAUUCAAUGAAAUUGAACCAAAAGGUCCGAUGGUUGAGUUCAUUACAGAGCAAAGUAUUGCAAUGGCAAAAAGUUACGGCAUGAUUCUCAACAGCUUCUACAAGCUUGAAGCAGCCUAUACUGACUUCUGGAACAAAUGCCUUGGACCCAAAGCCUGGUGUGUUGGUCCUCUAGCGGAAGCCAAGCCGCCAGUAUUAUUAGCUGAAGAAUCUGCAAAGCCAAAGUGGAGGCACUGGCUUGACAAAAAAUUGCACAAUGGAAAGUCAGUUUUGUACGUGGCAUUUGGAACUCAGGCUGAAGUAUCCCAAGAGCAACUGCUUGAAAUUGCAAAUGGUCUAGAACAAUCUAAGGUGAAUUUCUUGUGGGUCAUAAAAUCAAAACGGCUGGAGAUCUUGCAAGGGUUUGAAGAAAGGGUGAAGGAUAGAGGGAUCAUAGUGAAAGAAUGGGUAGAUCAGAUGGAGACACUUAGGCACGAGAGUGUAAAAGGGUUCUUGAGCCAUUGUGGAUGGAACUCAGUUACUGAAAGCAUGUCAGCUGGCGUGCCCAUCUUGGCGAUGCCAUUCAUGGCUGAGCAACAUCUGAAUGCAAGACUUGUAUCGGAGGAGGUUGGUGUAGGCCUGAGAAUUAUGCCAUGCAAUGGAUCAGUGAGGGGCUUUGUCAAGUCAUCGGAAGUGGAGAAGAGAGUGAAAGAACUGAUGCAAGGAACAAAAGGGGAGGCCGCAAGGAAAAAGAUGGAAGAGGUUGGAGAAGCUGCUUGUGAUGCAAUGAGAGAAGGUGGUUCCUCAUGGGAAACUCUAGAUCAACUCAUCCAUGAUAUAAGUAACUACACAAGAUUAACUCCUCUUAAUCAUGGAUUGGUAAGUGAACUUGGGACAGUUUCAGUUAGUUAAUAAUUUGUUUAUGUGUGAUGAAUUGGUAUACGGUAUAGUUGUACGUACAGCAAUACCAUAUGGGGCUACUACAGUUUUAUGUAAAUCAACUUUCGUAACAGGACAACAACAUUAUGUUAGUGUAUACCAAAUCUCAUGAAAAAUACACAUCACCUAUAUGCAUCCACAGCAACCCCGAAGUCUUAACCGCAGUGUCCCUGGUUUGUAAUAAGUUGUCAAGCAACCGAAAUUGUUCUCCUAUCGUUUGGAAUCAACUUUGUUUUUCUUUUAUGUAUAUUGUAUUUAUUUGGGAUCCAAAGGUUAGACCUAGGUUGAUUUUAAAGUUGUGAAAUCUGAUUAAUAAUUUGGAAGGGCUAUGCAAUAGCGACCUCAGAACCUUGCAUCCAAAUCAACCUUGAGAUCCUUGGCUUGAUUAUUCGACUUGUACAGUAAAUAAAAUCAUCCAAAGUGUCAAGAAGCAAACUUUCAUAAAAAAGCCCGUGCAAAAUCCUAGAAGACAUAUCUAGUCUACAGAUGUCUGAAGCCAACAUAUGCGUGUCUUCUAGAGAGUUAUUUUACAAGCACAACAUCAAAGAAGAAAAUUUAUUAUGCUAAUGCUACAACUGAAGACAAAGGGUUUAAAAUACAUUCAUGCAAUAGGGUGUACAGAAAUUAUCUAAAGGUCUAUGCGUUCACUACUUCUAUUGAUCUUAUAAAACUACUUACCAAUCGUAUCCAUCUAGUGUUUGCCCGUGUACACUCAACUCGCAGGACAAACUAAGAGUCUACUGCUGUUCUUCUUGCAUAUUUGUCAACAUCCAAGAAGAGAUUUCCAACCAAAUAGGAGAGACAACAGAUACAAAGUCCAAAAGCCUUUUGUGUUUCGCUCAUACUUCAUAACGAGGCCUUUUCUUAAAGAUCUAAAGAAGCUCUAAACCUUCUUAUAAGGCUUAAAAGGAAAGGGAUCAAGGGAACGGGGAAAAGCUUAAGAGUAGAAUCAUGGAUAGACCACGACGUGAUCCUAAUCAUUUCAAACGCCCACCAGAAUGUGUUUGGAUUGCAAAUUUAUUUCAAAUAAUAUUUCGCUUGCAUCAUAAACACAUUUUUCAAUCCACCUUCUUAUAUUCCCCACUACUUUUUAUCUCUCAUACAUCAAAUCACAAAAAAUGCUACAGUAAUUAUUCCAAAUAAUAUUUCAAAUAAUACUCUAUCCAAACAUAUUUCAAGCAAUCUGAAAUACUUCAUUAUCGCAACGCGCAAAAUUUUAAUGUGGCGAAGGUUGGGUCUUUCAUACUUGAAAAUGCUACUGCUUUAGAAAUAGUUGUUUGAUUUUUUCUUUUUUUUGACAAAUUUGUCUCAUUAACCCCGCAACGGGACAAUUUUGAUAUGCUCCCUGAUAAGCUUGCACAUCACAAUGGAUGGCGUGUUAAAAAAGAUGAUCAGAUUCAUAAAGAUACAUCAAACGUUUGAAGGGAUUUAGAGUACUCUCUUGUCUUCUUCACUGCUAAGUCAUGCAAAUGAGAGCUGUUUGCAGUCAAACUAGCUCGAAUAGGGUCCAGAAAUGGAACUUAGGACUUCAUGCACUUCGUAGCCACAUGACAAUAUGUAUUCAAAUUCUGAAGUUGGUAACAAAAUUCAAUUAGCAGAACAUUUUUGUUUCAAAACAGAUAAGAAAACUGAAAGGCCAACAGUUGAUGGUUCACUCUGUCUAACUAAAACUAUUUUUGCAAACCUUCAAAACUUUGAAAGAUACAAAAUGGAAUAAAGUGACGAGACAAAUCAGUCUUUCAAUUUCCCUAGAACCAUAUAAGCAGGAGGAAACAUGACUUGACUUUGUUUCACUUUCAAAUAAGAUCCUUCGCAUCCAAACAAUAGCUAAAGAAAAUUGAAGAGCCACCUUAAAUGUCAUAUCUCAAAACGAAAGGGAGGAAAAAUAUUUUCAUCCUUCACAAAAUGACAUGCAUCCAUGAUGAGACCACACCUAGUUAAAACUAGUCUACAAAUAAUAUUUGAGAAAGUACAUCACAUGAUUCUCGAAUAAAUUCGUCUAGAGAUGGCUAAUCUAAGCAGUUUUACGUACAUACAUAUUUAUCAUAUAAAGGCUGCAUUAAAAUGCUCUAGUAAUAUAUCAUAAACCCAGGAACCUAGAAGUCCAAAUGUUUAAGAUCUCUCCAGUCCAAGAAGAAAGCUUUUAACCAUAUUCCAGGGACAUUACCUUCCAAAACCCCAAAGAAAAUGGCCUUGUCAUUGCAGUGAUUGGUGUAAAAGCAACUACAGUGUCCAGAAAAUUGAACAUUAGCUUGUUUUGCCGGCUUAAAACGCCAAGAGAUGCAUUCAUACUCCUGAAAAUAAAAUAAAAACGUGCCCAUUGGCUGUUUAUGAGAAAACUACAAACCAAACAACCAAGCUGAAAGUUGAACAUCAAACUGUCUUUUCUGCAGUCAGUUCUACGGAGCUCGCACACUCCCACAAUUAACAAGGUACCCAUUUCUGUAGAAGAGAAAACCAUAGAGGUAGAGCUCUUGCCAUUCUUUGGUUUAUGUUGUAUUAUUCGUCAGCAUAUAGAUAAUCAUCCAACAAAGGAGGUGCUUCCCGAAAGCAUUCUACAAAGUGUCCAUCUUUUAUCUUUUCCUUUUUUUUAUCUUUUUUUGGGUGGUUCUGACCAAAGUAUUGCCAUAUGCGUCAGAAAAACCUUAGUUGCAAGUUUUCCUUUAAGAGAAAAAAUAAUUAAAACUCCAGAUCAUGAACUUGGCGCAUUAAGAUUCAUCAAAUCUCCAUUACUCUUUAAGCAAGGGUACAAGGCACAGUGUCAGAAAUAGUAACAAUCAUCUCUACACUUAGCUUAGUUCUUCUCAUUGUUGCUCUCCAGCUCCCUCCUAAGCUGCAGCGAGAAGUCAUCAUUUACAUCAUCAUCAUCCCAAUCAUCUUCCCACUGCUGGGUUACUUCUUUGCCUUCCUCUUUGUCCUCCCACUCUGCCAUUUCACAAUAAAGUGAAGAAACGAUUAAAAUACAAGUGCAGACAACGUCUAAUGAACCUAUGCAAGAUCAGAAUCUUCGUUAUCAUCACCAAAACACACAUAUUUAAUAGUAACAAAGAAUUCCAAAUAAUACUGCUAAAUCACUAACCAGCAAAACUGCAAGAAAGUGGAAAUUACAUGUGAAACUUUAGUAGCAUGAGGAAUUGAAUGAGAAUCUCAAUUGAGUGAAACUUAUCAUACGUGUCAAGAUUUACCUCAUUGCGUGCAUUUUACAUCAAAACAUCAAAAAUAAAAGCAAGCAGCUACAGAAUAACAAGAGAGCCAAACAGAACAAAUAAGAAGUUCAAACAGCCGUUAAAACAACCUAAAGUAACAAUGGUUACUCUACAUACCCUAAGAGCAAAAUACAUUUCAGAACUUUCUUGGCCAAACAAAUAUAGCCCUAAAGAUAAACAACAAUUAAGCUCCAACGUGGGGGCAGUUUGAUAAGGGUCCACCUGUCUCAGACUCAAUAAUUAUGCACUUGACAGAAAGAACCCCCCCCCCCCAACAAAAAAAAAGCCCCUUCUUAUCCAGAAUAUCCAGGUAACCAGAGAAACAAUUGGCAUCUUUCCUCCUCUGGAUCCACUUCCUUUCUUUUCCCCCUUUGGUGCUCACAAAGAAACACACACUCCAACUCAACACACUGAACUAAACCCACACUGGUUGACCUGUUGAUAUAAAGAAAGAGGGAGGGGUGUCAAAUGGUCAGGGAGGCUUCGAAGUAAUGGAAGCCUAGCCAUUGUAAAAGGCAAGGGCAGAAAGUCCUGCAACAGUGGUUCAUAGAGGAAGGAAAAGGUAGGAAAAGAGGGGCUGGCAGAUAGAGGGAUCGAUUUAUAACCAAGGAUUCCAGAGGCACUGUAACAAUGGAUAAUUUAGGGCAUCCUAUGAUAUGGCCACAUUAAGUAAAUUUAUGAAGGUUUUCAAUUCAAUUGUUGGCGAGGCCUCAACUUCCAGAGUUCUUUAGCCAUCCUCUAGGUCCUUUGCAAUUAUCAUUCUAAAAAUUUACAAAAAAAGACUACAGAUAUGAGAAAGAAGAAAAAUAGAUGGGUAUAGAAGACCGAAUUGAACUGAAGGGGGAAAAGCUAUGCUAUGAAACCUUGGCAGAGAAUGCAUUGAAUUCAAUUACACCUCAUCAAUUGGACCUUCGUUUUUGUGGUAAACACAUCUUCCCUCUACAAGCCCUUGCUUUUCCCCUUUCAGUGCUUUAAAUUAUUUUUAAAAAUAAAGGACACACACACACAACAUAACCACAGACCCUCCCGCUCACAAGCAGCAUCAUGAACAUCAAUAACAAAGUUCAAUAUGCCCACAAAACAAACACACUCAAACACAACAAGAAAAUACAUACAUGCAGACCCACACAAUACCUGUUUCGAAUGGUCAGGGAGGCAAGGGAAGUGAUGAAAAUCUAGCCACUUUGGAAGGCAGGGGCUGAGUCCUGCACUGGUGGUUUGCAUAGUAAUGAAAAGGGGGGAAGAUGUAUCAAUUUGUAUUUAGCCGAGGGUUCCAGAAGCACCAAAACAAAGAAUAAUUUGGGGCAUCCUACGAUUCGGCCGAAUAAGUGAAUUUACGAAGGUUUUGCAUUAAAUUGUUAGAGAGGCCUCAAUUUCCAGAGUUCUUCACCCCUCUGCUGGGACCUUCACCAUUAUUAUUGCUACAAUUAAUAAAAAAGGAUUAUAUAGAUGUGGGAAAAAAAGAGAGGAUAGAUCUGCAUAAAGGACCGAAUUGGAGUAGAUCCUAGUCGGCGAUCUGGGAUUCCAGAGCUAAGCUAUACAAAGGCAAACUUGGCCAAGAAUGCAUUGAAUUAAAUUACAUCUCGUCCAUAGGAACUUCACUUGUAGUCGAACAGCAAUGUAAGUUAGAUUUAAGAAUGUAAUAAAAUAAACAAAAAAGGAAAAAGAGAGUGCUCAGUGAAUACGAACCAAUAGAAAGAGGUUCACAUUUUGAGAGUAUAUCUCACAAAAUCACUCAGAUUUCCUAUGCUAUCUUCAUUGCAACUCCCUACUCCAAAUUAUCCAGGUAAAGGGAAAAAACAUUUGACAUCUUCCCUCCGCCACAUCCCGUUCCUUUCGUUUACCCCUUCAAUGCUCACACAGGAACACGUUAAAACAGACAUGCCUACAGACCUCCCUCUCACAAGAAGAACCAAAAACACUAAUAACAGAGUUAGAAAUGUCACAACACAACACAAACGCACCAAAACACACACAAAAUGUAUACAUGCAGAGGCUACACAUGUUCACCUGUUCAUAAAAGAAAUGGGGUAUCAAAUGUUUCGGGAGGCUUGGGAAAUUAUGAAGGUCUAACCAACUUGAAAGGCAGGUGGCUGAAUACUGCAGUGGUGGUUAGCAGAGGAAGGAAAAGGCAUAAGAAAGGGGCCUGCAGCUAGAAUCAGAGGACGAAAGGGGCUGGCACCCAGAAGGAUCAAUAGACAAGGAUUCCAGAAGUACCAAAACAAAGGAUAAUUGGUACAUCCCACAAUUCGGCCCAAUAAGCAAAAUUACAAAGGUUUUACAUUCAAUUGUUAGAGGGGCCUCAAUUACCAGAGUUUUUUACUUUUUUACCCCUCCACUGGGACCUUUGCUAUUACUAUUCCUAGAAUUGACAAAAAAAGGGAAAGAUUAUAUAGACAUGAGAAAGAAGAAAAAUAGAUCAGCAUAAAAGGCCAAAUAUGAGUGAAUCCAAGACGGCGAUCUGGGAUUCCAGAGCUAUGCUAUACGAAGGUAAAUUGGCUGAGAAUGCUUGAAAUUGAAUGACAUCUUAGCCAUAACACCUUUGCUUUUGUAGUUGGUGAUUUGCAGGUCAAAAUGCAAGAUUUGAGAAAUUGUAAUAAAAUAAACAAAAAGGGAAAAGAAGAGUCCUGAGUAAAAAUACGAACCAACAGAAAGGUCCAUGUUUUGCAAGAACAUCCAACAAAAUCACUUAAUUUCUUAUGCAAUACUUUAUCAUGACUCACUACUCCAGACAACCCAGAUAAAGGGAAAAACAUCUGGCAUCCUCCCUCCUCCGCAUUCCCUUCCUUUCUUUUCCCCUUCAGUGCUCACAAAGAAACAUGCUACAAAUAACAUAUCUACAGACCCUCCCUCACCAGAAGCACCAUGAACACUAUUACUAGACCUGGAAUAAGUCUAAAACACACACACACACACACACUGAAACAUGCGUACAUGCAGACCCAGACACGUUAAGCUGCUCAUAAAAAGAAACAGAGGAAGGGGUGUCAAAUGUUUGGGAGGCUUUGGCUAGUCAUGAAUGCCUAGCCAUUUUGAAGGCCAAGGGCUAAAAGUCCUGAAGUGGUCAUUCGCACAAGCAAAAGGGAGGAAGAAAGGGACCGGCAGGGAUCAAGAUCAACAUAUAUAUAGCUGAGGGUUCCAGAAGCACCAAAAUAGAGAAUCAUUUGGAGCAUCCUACGAUUCAGCCAAUAAGUAAAUUUGCGAAGGUUUUGAAUCAACUCGUUAGAGAGGCCUCAAUUUGCAGAGUUCUUUACCCCUCCGCUGGGACCUUCACAAUUAUUAUUCCAAGGGUUGACAAUAUACAUAUACAUAUAGAUGUAGGAAUCGAAAAGAUAGAUCUGCAUAAACGACCGAAUCAGAAUGAAUCCAAGUCGCAGAUCUGGGGUUCCAGAGCUAUGCUAUCCGAAGGCAAACUUGGCCAAGAAUGCAUUGAAUUGAAUUACAUCUCGUCCAUAGGACCUUCAGUUUUGUAGUUGGUGAAUCAUGAGUGAAAAUGUAAGAUUUUAGAAUUUGUAAUGGUAUUCAAAAAGAAAGAGGGAAAAAGAGAGUGCUCAGUGAAUACGAACCAAUAGAAAGAGGUUCACAUUUUGCAAGAACAUCUUGCUAAAUCACUUGAUUUCCUAUUCUAUCUUCAUUGCAACUCUUUCCCCAGAAUAUCCAGGUGAAGAAAAAUUCUUUGAUACAUGUAAAAUACUAAUUAACAAUAACAGUCUCACACAAGAAAAAAAAAACAUAGAAUCACCAAGAAUCAAUUUACAUCUUACAGGCAUCAAAAUCUCGAAACAAACUGCAUUCGGUAAUUAAUAUAUACAACACAAUAACCUAACCUAUCUAUGACAUCACUUUGCAGUGCCAUAUAUUCAUCUACUGUGCAGACAACACGUAUUCAUAUAGCAAAAACCAAUCAAACAGGCGGAAAUAAAAAUGUUCAAAGUAUUUACUUUGACUAAAAAAAACCGAAGAUUACGCUGAAAUCAGAACAACAAGAAACUGGACAGUGAUUAGAGGUAAAAAGUCAAGCAAGGGAGUUGACAUACCCUGAUCAAUUUCAAACUCCUCAAAUUCAUCGUCGUCUUCAAAAAGAUCAAUCUUCGCGUCCUCGGUAGCUGCCUUUGGUUGCUCAGUAGUUGCCAUUGUCAGUCACUCAAAGCAAAACUACACAUCAAAUUUUUCAUAAAUAUAAGAAAUGUACAGAUCGUGGGUAAAUAACCUAUGUUGCCAUCAAAGCCCUAGUUCAGAAAAUAAAUAAACAAAUCGAAAAAAUCAAACCAAAUAAUCAACUAAUCAGCUAACUAGUUAAUAUAUCAGUCAACACAACCAACAGACAUCGAGACUGCAAGCAAAAAUCGAGCAAAUGAAACGAACGUAUGACUUCCAUCACCGCGAAGAGGAAUUUGGAGAAAUAUAAAAUCAGAGCAUCCUUAAAAUAUGUAAAAAUAUGGAAAUACGAAGAAAAAUGAAUCGAAUAAAAGACAGAUGUAAUUACCUUACCAGCGUAUACUUGGUUCUUCGAUCCUAAAACCAAAAAAGAUCGGAUAAAGAAGAACCAGAGAUUAGCACAGCAAAUCCAAUCGAAGUAAGGUAGUCGAGAACGGGGUGUUUUGAAUGAAGCGGAAGGGGGGCUAGGGUUUUGAGAGGAGCGUACCUGAAAAAUCUGGAGGAAUCUUGUAGAUGGGGAAAGGAAUUAGGUCAUAAGCAAGUUUAUAUACUCUUUUUGCAAAAUCCAAAAAUGUUUUUUUUCUCACUCUCCUCCUCCCUAAAGGUUAUUCUAGAUUGAAUAAUUUUUUGUUGGCCCUAAAAAGGAGCAAAAGUUUUCAAUUAAGCUCCUAAAAGUGAAAAUGUUGUAAUUUGGCUCUUAUGAUACAUUAAAAUUGACCCUAACUUUAUUGACAAUACCGUUAUUGAUUGUAAAUCAACAAUCAUGCUCCCAAUGAGUUGAGAAGCUGAAUAUUUUUUAAUGAAGAAGCUGAAUAAUCACUCAUUAGGACUUUUAACAAUAUCUUGCAUGAUCAAAAAAGGAAAUAUAAGCUUGUAUAAGUUGAAAAUUUUUUAGAACAUUUUCGUUGGAGGUAAAAUUGAAACAUUUCUAGUUUUUGGGGCUUUAUUAAUAUUUUAUUAAUUACUUUGCCUGAUAAAUAUGAUGUAACUUAUUUGUUAUAUAGCGGAUUUGACUUCUCUUCAAUGGAUACUCUCUUCAUUUUUCACAGUGUACAUAUCUUCAUUUAUUAAUAAGAGUUAGGAUUAGUCGAACUUAAAAUGAUUAUGUCUCUUCCUAAUAAUGAAAACAUGUUAUGCAUCUAGAUGUACACUGUAAAAUAUGGAAAGAGAAUCCACGCGAGAGGUGCCAAUUCCGUGGUAAAAGUUGAUUAUACUAAGUGAUCUACAAAUUUGUGAAGUAAAUUACUACUCACAAUGUAGGGAAAAUUUUAAUGUAGCUUGAAUUUUGGUACCCUUUUUAUCAACCCUACUACCCUAAACUUUGUUAGAUUUAUACAUCUUCCCACUUAGCCGUUGCAUCUAUUUCAUUUUCCGUUUCUAAGGGAAUGCUUGAUUCAAGUUUAGGAAUUGGAAUUGUAAUUGGAAUCAUGACCAAAAUUUGAGUAUGGGUUCUGAUCAAGGAUAUCAUUAUAAUAACUAGUGUUUGGUAUAUACUUAUAAGCUUUUGGAAUCAAUUUUUUUUCGUUUUCUUGUCUUUAUUUUUUUUUCUUCUUUCCCAUUUCCUGCUUCCUUCUUCCUAGCCUUUAAAUACUCAUGCUUCACCAAAUUCUCUUGAACCACCACCAAUCAACUUUACAAUUUGUGGAGCAUGGGAGAGCGAUUGACAAGAGAUAAGAGAAAAACUUACAUAAAAAGAAAAAAAAAAGAGAGGAGAGAAAACCAGAUGGAGAGGAGCGAUUGUCGUGGAGGAUUGUAGGAGAGAGGAAGAGAGUGAAAAGAGAAGAAAAGGGAAAAUGAGAGAGAGAUUGACAAGAAAGGAGAGAGAACCAAAUGGGAGGGGGGCUGCUGCCAUGGAGGAUUGGAGGAGAGAAUGAAGAGAAAAGAAAGAGAGAAAAUGAUGGUGAUGGGAGGCUGCCGUGAAAGAUGGGAUGAGAACGAAAAAAUGAAAGAGAAAACAUGAUGGUAAGGUGUUGCCAUGAAAGUUGUGCCAACGUCAUAUAAUGAUGAAGACAAUAUGUUUUCUUUUCUUUUUUGAAGUUUUCGAGUCAAAUUGAGUUAAAUUUGGGAAUCCUCCAAAACCCUCCAAUUUAUACGGGAUUGAGAACUACCAAAUUUUAAUGAUUUAUUCCAAGAUUUUGAAUCCAAUACAUGUAACCCAAACAACAAGAAUUGGUAUUAUUUCAGUUCUUGAUUCCAAUCCUCUUUUACCAAACGGCACCUAAGUUUACUUAACACUAGUUUCCAGCAAAAGUUCAUUGUGUUAGGGUAGUUAGGCCUUGUUCUCUAAUGAUUUUCAAGACUUGAUUCUAGAUUUUAAUUUUGGAAAAGCUAUUCUAUUGCGUUCUUAACUGUUUUUCAUAUGUUGAUUAGUUACUAUCAAGUAUCAAUCAAGCCAUUUAGUCAAAUGCAAAGACCAGUAUAGCAACAAAAAUACCAAAUGGUUUUAAUGAUCUUUUUUAUGGCUGGCUAAUCGAUCGAUACCAAUGGGGUUUAAAAAUCAAUGUUUGAUUGUCUUUGAAACUAUGUUCUUGGAUGCACAUUCAUGAUUGGAAUUCAGUACUUAGGAUGUAGAGUGAAGACUUUAAGGUCUUUAAUCUGCUAAUUUUAAUGAUGAUAAAUAAGUCAUGAGAUUGUUUUAGAACGUAAGAGUGAAGACGACGUUAAGGUCUUUAUUCUUAAUUUUGAUGAUUAACAAACAAAUUAUGAGAUUGUCUAAAAUGUCAAAUCAGAACGUGAUAGAUGAAAGAUUUGUCUAACAGAUCUAGAAACAGGAAAAUGGCGCACCAAAGAAACGAAAAGGAUUGAAUGUGAAGCUUCAUUCUUGCUAGCAAAAAUGCUUAAAAUUGAAGUUAGUAGAAAGCGCAGGUAAAGUGACAAAACGUUCACAAGUUUACUGAAUCUUAGAAAAGGUGAUUUUUAUGGAUUAUAUAUGUAGCAGAAAAGCACCUUAAAUUUGGCGAACUAAUUUUCAAUUAAUUGUACCCAAUUUAUACAUCUUUAUUCUUCCAAAAUUGGUCUUCAUUUAAGUCUUAACAAGUAUCAGGAGCUGUAGUUUGUAUAUUCAUACCGUUGAGGGUGCUACUGAGCUUUUAUUUGCAAGUAUAGGCUUUGAAGAUUGCUGCUAUCAUUGAUAAUAAUCAACCUUGCAUUCUAAUGAAGACUAUGGAAAAUUUUCUGAAAGGAGAUUACAAAGUAUGCUCUAUAUAUAUAUGUAUGUAUAUCACAAGCAAAUAAAGAAUGAUUAAUUACAAAGUCUCAGCUCUUGAAAAUUCGAGCUAUUACAGGAAAAUCAAACCGUGUGAAGAAAAAAAUUGGAAAGCCAUCUAGUUCACUAAGGAUAUAUACAAAUGUGUUGAAUUCAAGAAAGUUUAUCAUGCUUUACCGAACAUGAACAAACUGUCCAGGCAGAACUUGUCUGAUCGAACCAGAAGAGCUUGUUUCGCCGAAUUUAUGCAGGAUUUUGAUAAGGGAUCGAGCUUUCUUGCCUGCAAGACUUGUUCCUUCAGUCACAAGUGAAUAAAGAGCAGGCAUGAGUGAUUGAUCUUUUGCUAAAACUGAGAUAACAUCUGCUCCACAAUUUAGGCACAGAGAGUGCAGAAUUGAAAGACAGUACUCCUUUCCUGCUCGAGAUGUUGUUGAAUGCAAUAGCCCCAAAACUGUAGGUAAGGCUGAAGAUUCAAGAAUCUUGGAUGAGCCAUUAACACUGUCGGCCAAUGUUGCGAGGACUGCUAAUGCAUCUGUUGUAAGCUCUACUUUUUCUGAAAUAGCUAAAAGAUUGACCAGUGCUGGAAUUGUCCCUGCUGCAAUCACCCUCUGAUGAUUUCUGUGGGACAAAAGCAGCCCGAAAAUCGCAACUACGGCAUUCUUUUUCCCACAAGUAGCACCAUCUUUGAUGAGCUCUACCAAAGCUGGAAUUGCAUCAGGUGUUUCUCCAAUCAGUUUACGAUAUUCAUGAACUGAGGCUAGGUAGAAAAGUGUUGCAGCUGCCGUUUGUCGAGCUUCCAUUUUGAGUCCGUUUCUGAGCACUCUGAGAAUCAAUUUCAAGCCCCAAUUCUCCAUGAUUUCUUUCGUACCACUGGAAUGCUUUGACAGCUUCAAUAAAGCAGACAUUGCAUUCUCUUGCAUAGAUGGAUUCUUAGAGUUAAGUAGUCCUAAAAGUGGGGGAACAGUUCCAGCUUCAAUCAUGCAAGACCUGUUGAAAAUGUUUGAUUUUGCCAGCAAACGAAUCUCGUAGGCAGCCUUGUUCUUUUGAUCAACAGUCCCAAAACAUAGCCGGCAAGCAAGGAAAUGAGCAAGGAAUCUAAUGGCUUCUGCGGCAGCAGCACUUCCUGGUACAAUCGUCCUCGAUACAUCGCGAUUUUUCUUCCUUGAUUUAGCCAAAGAAAUCCCAUUAUCAGCACAAAACUGCUGGAUAAGUUUCAGCAAAGCCGAAUUUGGCACCAAUUCUGUGCUUGUCAGCUUCUCCCCCGUUUUGGGACAAAUGAGAUGCCCUGAUCCCAACCAUUUCUGUAUCGAAAUUCGAUCAUACGUCUGCCCAGUUGACACAGUUACUGGAUCAGUCAUCAGCUCCAAUGAUAUGGGACACCUGAAGUCCUCAGGAUUCAAACAAGUCAGAGUUUCCAAGCUAUGUCUCCCAUCAUCUGAUUGAUCCGAAUUUCCAUAAUCAUAAUCCUCAUACAAAACUCCCCUGGAAUAACACAGCAGCCCAACUAAACUGCUCAAUAACGGCAACUCUCUCACAUUUCCAUCAUUUAAUUCCAAUCUGAUCUCUUCCUCUAAAAAUUUAAUCUCCUUUUGACAAUCAUUCCAACUUCUGAUAUCAAGAAAAUCAAGAACUUUCUUGAUAACACACCUCUCAGGCUCAAAUCGGUUCUCAAAUUGAUUCGAUAUCACAAUAACCCUCUUCAGUUCUUCCUCAUCCUCAAUACCAAUCUCCACUUUUGCCUUCUGUGAUUGCUUUGCUACUAAUUCCACGAGCUCCUUAACUUCGCGUGACAAAUCAAUAGAUUUCAGUGGAAGUACAUCAAGAGCAGUAGCCAUUGCUCUUACCAAAACCCGAAAUUGAGUCGUGAUAAAAUGCGAUUUCGUCAGUAUCCACAAUCUAGCUCCUUCUCUCGUGCAAUCCUCCAACAAAAACUCAAUUUUCUGAAACGUAAGAUGAAGUUCAGAAAAGCAGAGGACAAAGGAGCUGGACAAGCUAGGAACAUGUUCUCGAAUUUCCUCGAAAAACAUCAAAAGAAUCCCAAUUUGGCGAAUCACUUCGCGGGCAUUUUUCCUUUGGCUUGGGAUAUAUUUGGAUCGGAAACUACAUAUCCUACCAGAAAGAUUUAUUAGCGACUCCAGAAGUAUCCCUGGAGAUAUCCCUUCACAUGGAUGGACAGCCGGAAAUGUCAGAAUCCGGCGAUCACUCCGAUCAAACCGUUGAAUCAUUGGAAAUUUACAAACAAAGUUAACAAAUUUGUUUGUAUGAUCAAUGAAUUUUGUGUUGUUUGUUGUGUUAGUUGAAAUUUUAAGUAUGGUCUGUUUUAGGAAGGUAAAUAUAAGAUUUUUGUGGGAAGUUUCUGUUGGUGUAUCCAUAUUGAGAAGGAUUUGAAUGAUUUGAUUUUUAAUCGACACGUGGCAUUAGAAUGUGUGGUCUUUUGACUUUUUAAAUUUCUGCGUGGACUUUUGGUGGGACCGUAGUGAGGUGACCUUGGCAGUGAGGUGUACCAUACACGUGGAAUGGAUACGUGUGCACUAGGGAUUGGUGGAUAGUGACUUAAUAUAAAGGCUAUAUUACAGAAUAUAAAAAUUUUAUGUGAAUAACAUUUUCAUUUUUUUCCGAUAAAUAAUAGCAUUCCUAUAUUUGGCCACUAAAUAAAACAAAAAAAUUCCUAUUUGUAACAGUGAUAAUCUACAUUAAUGCGUGCAAAUAGACACGUGUAACUAGUACUAGUAUAUUGCGCAGCAAGCAAAUCUACACGAGCUCAUUUGAGAUGAAAAUGAGUAAAAAGUAUUUUUAUGUAAAGAUAUGGUAGGUUUAUGUGCAUGUAUAUAAUGAUUUUAUAAAGUGACAAUCACGUUUGACUUACAUAAAGUUAUUUCCAAGAAAUCUUACAUAUAAAACGCGUCUAUACUUUACACAAUCACUUGUCACACAUAUGAAGUCAUUUUAAAGAAAUUUGAUGUUGUAGAAACCAUUUAUUUAACAAAUCAUUUCAUACCUUCUAAUCUCUCUAACUUUUACUUUCUAAGCUUCUUACUUCAUAAUACCGUGAGGGGUGAUAUUUAGGUGUAUUAACACGUAAUUGAUCAAUCGAUUUACUUUUUACACACGUCUUUCUAAAAAUCAGAGUAUAUAUGGAAUAAAAAAUUAAAGAAAAUAAGAUAUUUUAUCGAAAUUUACUAUAGAGGUCUCUUACAGAAAUUCUUACAGAUCAUCCAUCAUAAGUCAUUUAUAGAAUUUCUUAUAAAUCGCCCACCAACACAGUUCUCACAUCGAAUAGCAAAAUUCGAACACACGAUUUUUUUUACGAGAAAAUAACCCGUUGAUGCAAAUUAAAUUUAACUUGUGUUGCCAUUGAAUCGAACGUGGCUGAUUACAGUGGAUUUUACACGUAGGAAGUAGGCGUGUUACACGGUUUACAUUUUCAUUUGUGCAGCUAACCUGGAGACUGAUAGGCUGAUAGGAGGAGGGCAGUUUUUUCCUUCUUUUUUUUAAUAUUUGAUGUUUGGAUAAAUGAUUGGACUGAGUGAAGGUUCCUUGAGGUCAAUCUCAUGUGGGUCCAAGAUUUGGCCGACACUGGGGGCACGUGGAUGUAUCAGGACACCGUGACUUGCAGCGUCAGGCGGGGGGAAAGUCCGCUUAAAUUCAUGAAGCAGUGCAGCCGACAAGGAAUAGAUUAUGGAUGUUCCAAGGCAAAAAGCUAUGGCCUUUGCUUCAUGCAACGGAGGAGAAAAGUCAUUUUCGCACCAUGAUCUUCCGGCAGAAGGUAUAUCCCAUCCCGGAUCCCGUUGGGAUACUACGCUAUUGUUGGAACAAAUUGUAUGGUGCAACUGACGGUGUAAAUAUAUUUAACUUGAAUUUAAACGAAGGAGAUCGAUUGCAAGGCAUUUUGAUACGUUACUAUUAGCCGUUGGCUCACACUUGGACAAAUUCGAUUUCUAAAAAUUCAAUAAUUUAAAUUGUACCACACCAUCUCACCAAAUGAUGUAGUUAUUUGUCACCAAAUGGUAUAGUUAUUCUGUGUACAUUUGUUGGGGUAGUUAUUUGUUGUAUUCUUCACGUUGUUGGUUUGGUGUCUCAUUUUGUUGUGCAAUUAAUGGAUGGUGCAAUUGAACCUGGGAAUUGCAGAAGUUUGGAAUUUGAUAAGGAGCUCUACUAUCUAGUUGUGAUUGUAGAAUGCAAUUAAUAGUGGGAUAUUUAUUUGAUCUGAAAUUAAAUGGAUAGGAUUGACUUUCAGACACAAUUUUCAGUAUAUAUUAAAAUUUGUUAUGUUUUUACAUGAUUUUAUUCUAGUACCGGACUAAUCACCCUGUACCUGAAAUACCCCGCCCCUAAGAGCACCCAGGCGUUAAGAGAGGUUUGAACCUGGACCUUGGAAUUUGGAAUUUGAUAAGGAGCUCUACUAUCUAGUUGUGAUUGCAGAAUGCAAUUAAUAGUGGGAUAUUUAUUUGAUCUGAAAUUAAAUGGAGAGGAUUGACUUUCAGACACAAUUUUCAGUAUAUAUUAAAAUUUGUUAUGUUUUUACAUGAUUUUAUUCUAGUAUAUACCUUUAGUGUUUCAGUUUGUACAUAUUGUUUAGUGCACACACUAUACGUGCAUAUAUAUAUAUAUAUAUAUAUAUAUAUAUAUAUAUAUUGUCAAUACAGGGUGUAUCCCAAUUUUGCCUGACUAAUCACCCUGUACCUGAAGUACCCCGCCCCUAAGAGCACCCAGGCGUUAAGAGAGGUUUGAACCCUGGACCUUGGAAUUUGGAAUUUGAUAAGGAGCUCUACUAUCUAGUUGUGAUUGCAGAAUGCAAUUAAUAGUGGGAUCUUUAUUUGAUCUGAAAUUAAAUGGAUAGGAUUGACUUUCAGACACAAUUUUCAGUAUAUAUUAAAAUUUGUUAUGUUUUUACAUGAUUUUAUUCUAGUAUCUACCUUUAGUGUUUCAGUUUGUACAUAUUGUUUAGUGCACACACUAUACGUGCAUAUAUAUAUAUAUAUAUAUAUAUAUAUAUAUAUAUAUAUAUAUAUAUAUAUAUAUAUAUACAUGCAAUUUUUUUGAGUGCAAGAUUGUGAGUUAAAUUACAAUGAUAACAAUUUUAAAUUUCUUAAUGUGAAAUUUAUUUUCAUUUAUUUCAUUCUAGCUCUAGAAAAUCCCAUGUUGCAAUUUUUAGUUUCUAGGACACUAACAACUAGUUAGGGAGAUGAGAUUUGAGUAGAAAAGUAAAGAAAAGGAAGAGAAAUCCAUAUCUUUCUCAUGUUUGGGACUUCUAGAUAGUGUUUGUUUGCCAGUAAAAGAGUAGGAAAGUGAAGGAAAAUAACUUUUCUGCAAGUUUUGAAUGUUCGUUUUUUAGGAAACUUAUGGAACCCACCACAUAAAAUUUUUGUGUAACCACUUAUUGUGCUAUAGAAUUUUUCCUACAGAAAUCAAUAGGAAAUGUGAGUUGCGGAAAAGUUUCAACUAGUUAGAUUUUUUACAACUCCUUUCUUUCUAAACUAUUUUUUCCAUUCUUAACUUCAAAAUAAAUUAGAAAAACUUAGAAUUCACAAUUCAAAAAAUUGGCUUGUGGUUAGAUAUUUUAUUCUUAAUUUAACAAUUAAUGGAUUAGUAGUUUGUUGGAUUUACAUGACAUUAGUAUUUUUUUUCUUUUACAUUUUAUGCUUCUUUUUAUGUUUAUAUAUUUUGUGAACUCUUAACCUAGAAGGGAUUCUAAAGUCCCAUUUGAUAAUCAAAUUCAAUCCCUAAAUUUAAUGAAUUCAGACGUUAUAACAAAAAAUAGAAUGCUUAAUUAAUUAAGUAGUUCGGAAUUGUUUAACCAAAACUUAUUCAAAACAAUAAGUGAUAGGCUCUCCCACCUCAAUAAUUGAUGAAGUGUAUAUAUGAAUGUAAUCAUUUCAAUUUUUUGUAUGGACGAACCUUUUAUGGGAUUGAAAAUGCCAUUUUUUUAUUAUUAAGAGUAUGAAUUCUCUAAUCAUCUCUCUUGUCUUUUCUUAAAUAGAAUUCUUUAAUCAUACGUUCUUGUAUCAAUGAACCUUAUGACUGAACCUUCUAUGGGACUACAUUUAAUUAUAAACUAUAACAACACUCGGAAUUAUGAUAAUGUAGAAUGAAUUUCCCGUGAAGGAAUAAUGCAUUUCAUGCCAAAUCCAUAAAGAAACUAAUGUAGCCCUUAUCUAUAUAUGACAUCGUUCUAUGGACCAAAAAUUUUAAGAUUAUUUGAUUAGCUUUGAUUCAAUAUAUUACUAUUAUCCUCCUUGCAGGGUCUGCAAAUUUCAUUGGCUUAAUCAACAUCUAUUUUUUCUCUCUUUUUUUUUUAAAAGAAAAUGUUAGUAAUUGAUUUUUUUAAUAUAAAAAAUGAUUGUUCAAAGUACCAAGGCCUUUACCUUUCUUGCAAAUACAUAGGUAAACUUAAUCUUGCAGACCAUUGCUUUAAGUAAUUGUACAUAUAUGUAUUAUUAUUUGUACCUCAUGCAGGAAUGCAAGUUUCUAAAGCAUGUUGAUUUGCAAACAGGUGUACCUAAAUACUUUUCGUACAUCUACUAGCUAUGAAGCAAGAUUUACAGGUCUUUAAAUCAAUUGUCGGUUUAAGCUUCUAUAGUUGUGGCAUGAUAAAAAUAACAUUCCAAUUCGUGAGCUAUUGCAUCAAGUUUCUUACGUACAUAUUUCACGUUAGCACUCUAAUUUAUGACUUUACUUGCCAACAAAAUUUUAUGCAGGUGUCAAGCUUAUGUUUAAGAUAUUCAUCCACCUAGCACAAGGACGGAACUAGUGGGGGCCGCGGAAGGACUAAGUUUUAGAUAUUUAUAAAAAAAUUUUAUGUGUUUUUUACUAUUUGCCCCCCCCCCCCCGCCCCCCAAAAAUUUAAAAAAAAGUCCUAUAUAGAUUCAAAAGUUUAUAUGCACACGUAUUUCAUCCCCGAAUUAAAAUUUGUGAUUCCAUCUAGGGAUGCAUUCAAAUCGAGUUAAGUUUAAGUAGUACACUACUCGAACUUGAUUCGGGAUAAAAUAAUUGAGUUCAAACUCGAAUUCGAAUUCGUCAAACUUUUAGAAGUUAAGUUCAAGCUAGAACUCGACUUCAGUUUACCUCACUCGAGUUUGAACUUGACCUCAAGUUUAAUUAAAUCUAAUCGAAUUAAAUCAAGUUCGAUCGAGCUUAUUUGAGUGUAAUCAAGUUAAAUUGAACUUAUUCGAGUCUAAUCAAGCUCAUGUAGUAAAAAUUAAUAUUUUACAUAUAAUUUUAAAUAAAGGACAUUAUUGACAUCUCAUAAUAAUAAAUGUAAAAAAUUAAAAAAUAUAUAUUAUAAAAAACUCAAUUAGACUUAUCGAGAUUUCGAAUACAAAAUAUUAGAACUCGAAUUCAACUAAUAAGUUCACACGAGUGGCUCGAACUUGAGGUUGAACUUGAUCAAAACGAGCUCGAUUUAAGUUAUUGAAUCGAGUUAUUUGGUUUAAGCAUCAUCUCUAGUUCCAUCCCUAGCCUAGCAUAUCACUGUUUCCUCUAGAAAAUUCUUUUUUCUAGAGAAUUCCAUUCAUAAUGCUGACACUCGCAAGGCUUGUCCUCGUUUAAUUUGAUAGAUACUGAUGACCAUUGGAAAAUCAUAGGCGUGAAAAGGUCCCAUUCUAUGGUGCCAUUUUUCCUUUUUAAAGUUUAACAUUUUCCGUGGUGGACCAAUAAGCAUUAAUCAGUUGGACUUGAUUGGUUUCUCUUAUUGAUUACGAGAUCUACGCUUCAAACACCACCACAAAAAACAUAUAGGGAAACGCUUUAAAAUUUUAGGAGUGUUAAUAUAGCAGCUGUUGAGUGGGUACUUAUUAAUAUUAAUUUCUGGUGUUAGUUUUUUAAUAAGGUGAAAUAAAUCAAAGUUAGAAUCUAAAUGUUAGAGAAAUAACAAAUGUGAACAUGUCAAUGCAAUUAAGCAUAUUAAUAGAUCGGGUCUUAUCCAAAUUUAACAUAGACCCAAUAUACUUGAGUGGGUUUGGAUUUAAUUUUUCAAAUUCAGACCCUACCCAAACCUAGAUCUUGUGAGAGAGUUAUGGUUCUGGGUAGGAUUUAGUUUUUUAGAAUCCAUACCCAAAUUUAGAUCUAUACCAAGUCAUAUCCAGAUUUAGACCCAUACCAAGAUUUCGUUUCAUUAGAAAUCUUGCAAAAUAUUUCUUUUGCCCUACCAUCUCUUGUAUUGUCUUUACUAUUUUCGGCUAUUACAAUUGCAUUAGAAUCUACAUUUAAUGUUGGUGGUAGGAUAAUUGAUGAGAUUCAUGCUAAUUUGCUUCCAGAUGUGGUUGAAGUAUUAGUAACUAUUGAUAAUUGGAUUGAAUCAAAGAAAAAAGAUGAGUAAGUAUUUAUAAAUCUUCUUAUUCUAUUAUUUAUUUGCUAUCGGUUCUUAGUCAAAUGAUUUUUAUCUCAUUCAUUAUUGUAGCGUUGGAUUGCAAGAGAUCUAUCUACAUUGGGGCUUAAAUAAGAUAAAGAGGAACAAAAUUAUAUAUAUAUUUAAUAAGGCUAAAUAUUUAUAUAUGUUAUAUUGAUUUCUAUUUUUCAAACUAAUUCUAGUUGUUAUUAUAAUUUGUACAAACUGUUCAGGAAAAGAAGAAAAAAUAAAGACAAACAAAUAAAAGAUUGGACGUGGAUGUAGUUGAAAUUCUGAAAAUAUAGAGAAAGUAGUCAAUGGUAGUUCUUUCUUUGAGUUCAUAAAAUUACAUUCAACUUGUUGAAUAUUAAUUUCAUCAUUUGAAAACAAAACUUGGACGGUAUUUAUAUUAUUUAUUAACUCUAUAUACUUUUAAUAUAUUUUUAUUUUAGUAUGUUCAAAAAAUACUCACAUAUAUUUAUUGGAUACCCAGAUCCAUAAGGGUCUAGAUCUAGAUUUAGCAUGUGUUUGAUAAAACUAAAAUCUAAUAACUGAAAUCUGAAAUCUGAAGUUUAAAUUCAUUAAUUCAUUAAAUUCUUGAGUAUCAAAUUUAUUAUAUGUGAGUGUAUAUCACAUUCAGUAAUAAAUAAAUCUCUUAUCACUUAAUUUUGGAGCAAGUUUUAUCUAGGAAAUUCAGUGAUACUUAAUUAAUUCAGAUGUUUAAUUUUUGGUAAUCAAACGCGUCUGAAUAGAUGGAUCUAUUAAAUUUAAGUGUUGAAUUGAGUUAUCAAACAUGACCUUACUUUUUCAUACCCGUAAAGGUUUGGGUUUGAGUAUACAUAUAUGUGUGUAUUGGAGAGUGCAAGUGAGAGAACUUGAGUUCAAACUCCUGUAAGUAAGAGGUAUCGAGUUUGAACUCUUUCAUUUACACUGAAAAAAAUAUACGUGUGUAUGUGAAACAAGAUACUCAGCUCGAAAAUAAUUCGAGAGAGCUGUCUCAUCAAUAACACUCAUCAUUUAUUCCGAACAUGUUUUGAUUGGAGACAUGGGCAUCUACACUGACAAUCGCUAGCAUCCUAAGAAUUUUUCUAAACUGAAUAUGUACCGACCACUUAUGUGAAAGCUGAAAAGCCCCUCGCAUCCAAGUUAUCAAUCCAUCUGUUUAUGAUCCGAACUUAUGACGUGUACGUACAUAAACCAUUGAUAUUUUUCCACUUUAAGGGACACAAUUGAUCUCUGGCCCGCCCUAGAGGAUUAAUUAAAAUAGAUUUUACUCUAUUAUAUUUUUGAAGAAUGCUAAACAGAAAGGAUUCUAUAAGCUGUAAUGCCAUCCUCACGUGAAAAUUUGAGAUAUGAACCGGGCUCAUAAAAGAAUAAACAUUUGUACAGAAUACAUGAAAAGUGUACGUUCCAGAGUAGUAUGAUUUGAAAUUAUACCCAUGCAAUUGAUAGUUGAGUAUAACGGUCAAUUAAUAACACAAGUUAUUAUAUAUAUAUAUCGCUGUAACGAUAAUAUUUUUAUAAUCUAAUUUAUCCAUUUUUAAAGGGAGGGAUGCUUAAAGAAGCUUCGCCGUUAUUAUAUAUUACCUCUGUAUGUAUUUGUGUAUUGCGUAGUACAAUUGAGACUUGACAGUUGCAGAACCCUAAAUCGGAUUAUUUGAUAUGAAAGAUGAAAUUUCAUGCUGACAAAGCAGGGAUGACAAUGAAUACAGAAAUAGUAGGGUAAUUGCUUGAGGUGGACCAAUAAUGUAUCCACAUGUAGCAUGAACUAAUUUGUCUCUCUAUUAGUAGUCCAUUAUCUAUUGUCUAAUCAAAACCUAUUCAUACCAUUAUCAUUGUUUACUUGUCUUAAACACCAAGAGUCCUCCUUGAGCAUGCAAUCUCAUUAUUUGAUAGCUCAAACUUAAUGGUCCAAUAAAGGGGCAUGGAGCCAUCAUUAGAGAAUAAUAAUUAUAUCUUCUGCAGAGGAUGGAGGACAAGUGGAAUGUUGAUUUGAAUUUUUGCACAAUAAAGUAUUUGGAGGAAGAGCUAAACCUAAGAAGGAAAGUGAGAGAUAAGAUGAUGAAGUCAAUUUUGGUCAUAAGCAAAGUUUGCUUUUCAAGUAAUCAUCUCCUAGCUGCCACAUCUUCCAAUGAACACGAAGAAACAAGAUAAACUAAUCAUGUUCUUAGUCCAAAGAUAGACAAAACAAUCCACAUUAGAAUAUUGAUUGAGAACAUACCCACAUGAGCAAGAGUUCAAAGAAUAAGGGGUUUGAUUAAUUUGGAACCUAAUUAAUCAAUAGGUUUGAUUGAUUGGGUUUAUUAGGACCCAGGUUCUUAGAAAUAGAAUAUGUUGCCAAAUUCUUGGCAUAACAUCAUCGAACAGUUAUAUGACUCAUGCUUGGAUAGAGUCGAUCUUCAAAAAUUCAAUGACCCAAAUUGUGCCACACUAUCUCAUAAGAUAUGAUGUGGUACAAUCUGAACCAUUCAGUUUUCGAAGAUCAGGCCUAUCCAAGUUUUGGCCCAAUUAUGUAUAGCAUAAAACAGAUCUUGCAGUUACCUUAUCUGAUGUUUCUAUCAGCUAAAGUUAGGAAAAUUUUCUGGAACACACAAUUGUAGUUGGGAAAUCCAGUUUAAAUUAGAUUGCUCACCUCCAAAAGCUACGAGCCAAUAGCCAAUCUAAUCCAGUAGUAAAAUGGGAAAGCCCACAAGCCAAUUGACCCAAUUGGCCCGUAGUCCUGCUACCACUUUUUGAAAACUGUUUGGGUCAAUUGACAAUUCUUCCUCUUUAGUUGGUUAAAAAAUUUUGAAUUUUAGAUUCCAUGGUAAUUAUAUAUAGAAUAGAUUUUAAAAGGUAAUGACAAACUAGCCUGUCAAAACAUACUUGUUACCCACCUCAUUAUAUAUACAAUAGAUUUCAAAAGGAUUAAUGACAAACUAGCCUAUCAAAAAGUACUAAAAUUUGCAUCUUAAACGUCUAUAUUUCAGAUAUAAUACAAUAUAAACUUUGCAAUUUCAAAGUGCACAUGAUUUUGUCACAUAAGAUGCACGUUUUGCAAGGCAAAAAAAAAACUUUCAAUUGGGCCAAUAUUUUUUUAAAAUUGUGCAAGAAUAUAUAACACUUGGGGGUAUCUUCAUCCUGAAAAUAUAAUGCGCAUCAAUUUUUGUGGAUUGCAUGUUUGUCUUCUUCAUUUUUAUACACUUGCAAUUGGACAUUUCUCUAAAAUAUUGCUUUAAUAGCACAUUAGUUGUCAAAGUUAUAUUCAACUUAGGAUUUCUUGGAUUGAUUGUAUUAUAUGGCCCAAAAAAAAAAUGUGUAAGUAGCAGAUUGAUCUAUUUAAACAGUAAAUGGAAAAAAUUGUGAUUCACCUAUUCUUUGAGGGUGCAUCUUGUAAUUUACCCAUUCAAGAAUGCAUGUCUCCCAACAGAUAUGGCAUCAGAUUAAGUCUUGCUUUUGUAUAAAUCUAGCAAGGUUUCUAAGAAUCAGAAAACAGUAACAAAAUGUUAUUUUCACACUAAUAGUAAUACUUGAACAGAAUAUUAUCAUGUUUACCAAUUUAGGAUUGGUUUGGAAUGAGAAAUUUGAUGACUGAUUUGAAAUCUAUCCAAAUCGCUCUAGUUAUUUGAAUUGCUUAAGAGGCAUUUGAAUUUGUAAUUAGUUGUUCGGAUUACUUAAUAGGUAUUUGAACUUGCAAUUCACCAAUUAUCUGAAUAUAUUUUAAACACUAGAAUAAUUAGCAAUUUACAAAUUCAAAUACCUCUCAAGUAAUUUAAAUAACUAGAGUGAUUUAAAAGAUUUUCAAAUCAUUUGUCAAAUCCCUCAAUCCAAAAGCAACCUAAUUAAGUUUUAUGCCAUGGUAUUUAAUAUAUUUCAUACUCUAGAGCAAGUCACAGAAACUAUGAAAAACUGUAUCGGAGCAAGAAAGAAACAAACUUGAGAAGCAUACAUUACAUUCCAUUUCAAGUUCUUCAUGCCAACACUAUGCAUUUAGUCCACUUAUUAAAUAGGAAUUAUCAAACAAAGACCAAAAAAUUUACAACCAAGCUGGAUUCUCCAAUGGAGUAACAACAGCCUUCGCCUGCAAAUGGUUCUUUAGGCUAUAAAUUCCUUUUUCUCUUCCAUGACAGCUCAUCUUAUAGCCACCAUAUGGAAUUGCAGCAUCAAAGAUAUUAUAGCAGUUAAUCCAUACUGUUCCAGCCCUUAAUCCUCGUGAUAAUGUGUUUGCUGUGUUGAUGUUCUUUGCGAAAACUCCUGCUGCCAGACCAUAUUCUGUUGCAUUUGCCCUUCUGAUCACUUCAUCAAGGUCCCUAACAGGACAUGACAUGUAACACUCAUAAACUGAAAUCCUGUCAUAUCUCUUUUGUUGUAUUGUCUUCUCUAAAAGUUUGAAAUAAACAGAAAACUCAGAUAACACUUGGAAUCAUUUGCAUCAAGAUUAGACUUCAGAAAACAAAGAUGUAGUUAUUCAAUAUGCGAGUAUAUGUAGGUGUCAAUUCAUGUAUAUCUGAUUUCUGAAGGCAUUUGGCAACCUAGCUAGAGCAAUCCAGUCUGACCAGUGAUUCACUGGUUUUGUAUAGUGGUUUUCCUUGUACCAGGGGAGGAAAGGCCUGGGAGCCUGUUUCUUUUUCCUCAUAAUGCCAUAGGAUUUGUAUUUAGCUUUAUACAAGAGACCAAAUACAAAUUAUAUGAACAAAGUGUGGGUUUUACAUGAAAUUCGGUGUGAAGUAUCAUAUGACUCACUUGACUUUUAAGAUUGACGGCACUGGCCAAAAUUUCAUCCUUCGCUAUCAGCAUAUCAUCCUGUUUGAACAUAAGAUAUAUCAGUUAUUUUCAUUGAACUUUUGUACGCAUUGUAAGUGAAGAUCAGAGGGACAGAAAUGUAGAAUUACUUUAACAUUGGAGAAAACAGUUGGUUGAACAUAAUAGCCCUUGGAGCCAACUCUUUCACCUCCGCACUCAAGGGUAGCAAUACCAUCAAUUCCAGAUCUUACAUACUGAAGAAUCUUCUCAAAUUGUUUAGAAUCGAUCUGCGAUGUUUUAUUAGGCAACAAACUUUUGAGACAGUAAUUUGAAUCUCUAAAAUUUGAGAGCAACAUGGAUAUUGACAACUAAAUAUGACAAACUUUGUUUUUGAGUGUAAUUCGUAGUUUUGCAUUCUGCAAGACAAAUUUCCUUUGUUUUCUGACAAUGCUGGAUAUACUCCUUCACAGAGUCAUGUAUCAUAUUCGAAUGAAUGACAAUUGGUUGCAUUGCAAUGCUCUCAAAUAGACAAUAUCUGUGGCAUGUAGGUUGCAAAAGUAAUCUAGAGCCUUAGUUUAUGAAACCAUUUUGAUACAUAAGAGAGAAAGGUCAAAUGUGGAACAGGCUUACACAGUCUAACACACUACUAGAUGUCAUCUGAGAGCAUGCUUACUUUCACGUUGAACAAGAGAAACAGCAAAGAUUGCUGAACACCUGAGGGCCUUGUUCAACACCUUUCUUGAAUGGAUCUCCAACUAUACGCCUCAAGGCACUAGCCUUUGCUUUCUCCACAAACUCAUUAUAAACACGUUCAUGAACAAAUGUACGAGAGUCGAGAGCCAGCACAGCAGAUUUGGCCCUACAGGCAGCAAAUAAACUCAAAACACUUCUCAAUCUUCAAUAUCAGCUAUACAACUUUAUUAAUUAUUGCUGCACAAAUUCUUACAAGAUUAGUGAAUGUAGGUUUCAAAUGGUUGUAGGUAAUAAUUGUGAUUAGAAAACUAGUGAGCAUAAGUAUAUAAAGUGAUUUUAAGAAAUUUUUAAAAAAACAUGUCCUUAUUUUUGUGUUGUCUUUUCUACCUAUUAAAAUCCAAUGUUAUAAUAGUAAACUUGUAGAGUAUUUAUUUUAUUAUUUGUUUACCUUGAUAAUUUUAGUGAAUGAUUCAAAUAAUUCUAUAAAAUAUCAACUUAAUCUCAAACUAAAUUGAUAACUUAUUGAAAUGGAAAAAAGGCAACGAACCUAAUUUAAAGGUGUUGCGGAAGCCCUACCAAAGUUAAGGUAUAACGAGUAAAUUAUUGUAUCUAAAAUUGCAAAAUGGUAAUUCCCAGGAAAUAUUUGGUGAGGCACACUGGCCUGCUUAAGUACCAAUUUCCUAGACAGAAUCACCUAUAUAUGCACUUAAUUGCACAAUAACUCACUACAAAUAUACCUACAAAUAUAGCUACUAAAUAGACAAUAAAAUAGAACACCAGAAUUUAACGAGGUUCGGCUAAUUUGCCUACGUCCUCGGACACUACCGACAAUUUAAUAUUUCACUAGAAGAAAUAUUACAAAGAGAGAGAAGAAAGCAAGUUAUUGGCUCUUGCUUGGUGUACUUGAAUUGGUUUGUUUGAGAGCUAUUUAUAGUUCUCAAACAACCUCUCAAAUGUUAAACUUAACCGAUGUGGGAUUUAGAAAUUUAGGCCAAAGAAUUCAAAGUCCUCAAUUUUGGCUUGAAAAAGUCAUCAAUUGAGGCUUGGCUUUGAAUUCAACAAAUCUCCACCUUGGCAUAAUUUCUAAUCCCACCAAAAAUACAAAUUUUUUUUUCCCUCAAAUUCGGUGGUGUCUUCAAAUGCGUUGUCAAGCGCCAAUCUUCAAGUCGUGCACAACAUUUAUCAAAUUCAAACAAUGUUGGAAUUUGAUAGUUGUCACAACCUUCGUAAGCAUAUCAGCAGGAUUCUCCUUGGUCUGAAUCUUUUGAAGUAGUAUCGUACUAUCUUCCAAAAUCUUCCUCACAAAAUGAUACCGUACGUCGAUAUGCUUCGUCCUUGCAUGAUAAACUUGGUUCUUUGCUAAAUGAAUAGCACUCUGACUAUCACAAUGAACUUUGAUAGACUUCUGUCCAAUUUCCAAUUCAUCAAGCAAUCCAUGAAGCCAAAUUGCUUCCUUAACAGCUUCCGUAACUGCCAUAUACUCCGCCUCUGUAGUAGACAAAGCAACUGUUGACUGUAAGGUAGACCUCCAACUGACUGGUGCCUUAGCAAGUGUAAAAACAUACCCAGUCGUUGAUCGACGUAUAUCUUGAUCUCCUGCGUAGUCGGAAUCACAAUAUCCAACUACGCCUUGACCAAUCUUCUCAUCCCGCUCAAAUACUAAUCCAACAUCUACGGUGUUCAAAAUAUACCGUAAAAUCCAUUUCACAGCUUGCCAAUGCUCCUUGCCAGGAUCAUGCAUGUACCUGCUCACAACUCCAACUGCUUGUGAAAUGUCGGGCCUUGUACACACCAUAGCAUACAUCAAGCUACCCACCGCAUUUGCAUACGGUACCUUUGCCAUAUAUUCUCGUUCUGCAUCAUUCUUUGGAGAUAACGAUGCACUAAACUUGAAAUGAGGAGCAAGUGGAGUACUAACAGGUUUAGUCUUUUCAUUCAUACCAAACCUCUUUAAUACUUUACUAAGAUACUCUUUCUGUGUCAAAUAAAGCCUCCCCAAUCUUCUAUCUCUACUUAUCUCCAUGCCGAGAAUUUUCUUGGCUUCGCCGAGAUCCUUCAUUUCAAACUCCCGACUCAAAUGAGAUUUCAAUUUUUCAAUCUCACCUUGAUCCUUGGAAGCUAUCAACAUAUCAUCAACAUAAAGAAGAAGAUAUAUGUAGGAUCCAUCUCGUAGCUUGCGCAAAUAUACACAAUCAUCAUAUUUGCUUCUUGUGUACCUUUGCCCCAUCAUAAACUUGUCAAAUCGCUUAUACCACUGUCUUGGAGACUGCUUCAAUCCAUACAACGAUUUGUCAAGCUUGCAUACCAUCUUUUCUUUACCAGCAACUUUGAAUCCUUCUGGCUGAGUCAUGUAGAUUUCCUCUUCCAAGUCACCAUGUAAAAACGCAGUUUUUACAUCUAAUUGGACAAGUUCCAGAUCCAAUUGUGCUACCAAAGCCAAUAAAAUUCUGAUGGAGGAAUGUUUCACGACUGGAGAAAACACUUCGUUGUAAUCAAUUCCCUCCUUCUGAGCGUAGCCUUUAGCCACCAAUCUUGCUUUGUAGCGAACACCAGACUUGUCAGGAAAUCCUUCCUUCUUUGCAUAUACCCACUUGCAUCCGAUUGCCUUCUUUCCCUUUGGAAGACUGGUUAGCCUCCAUGUUUGAUUCUUAUGAAGGGAAUGUACUUCUUCAUCCAUUGCAAUCCUCCACUUUUCUUUAUCCGAACUUUGAGCUGCUUCAUUGAAAGUGGCAGGAAUAUCAACAUUUAUGGUUGGGGAUGCAUAGGCCACUAUAUCAGCAAAACGAGCAGGUUUUCUGAUUGUCCUCUUUGGCCUACUGGUUGCAAUUGAUUCAUGUUGCUGUGAAAGUUCUUCAACUGGAACAUUUUCUUCAGUUGAUUCUUCUUCUACCAUAGGAGUCCUUUCAUCUACUCCGAUAUCCACUGCUGGUCUGAUAAUGCUUCUUUCAAACUCCAUCUGCUUAGGAGUGCUCUCCACCUGUUGGGGAGUACUAUCAUUCUGCUGUACAUCUACCUUUGUUAACAUGGUAGAUUCAUCAAAGGUGACAUCCCUGCUGAAAACUAUCUUUUUCGUUUCGGGACACCAAAGGCGAUAACCUUUAAUGCCUGUUGUGAUCCCCAUAAAGAGCGCCUUCUUCGCCCUUGGAUCCAACUUUGAUUCUUUAACAUGAUAAUAUGCAGUAGAACCAAACACAUGUAAGGAAUCAUAAUCUGUAGCAGGUUUUCCCGACCAUUUCUCUAAUGGCGUUUUGCCGCCAAUAGCAGUUGAUGGUAAGCGAUUAACGAGGUGAUUUGCAUAUGCUAAGGCCUCAGCCCAAAAUUGUCUGCCCAACUCAGCAUUGGACAACAUACACCGAACUUUCUCCACCAAUGUCCGGUUCAUACGCUCUGCCACCCCGUUUUGCUGUGGUGUAUCUCUGACUGUGAAGUGCCGAACAAUGCCUUCAUUUUCACAGACCUCCAUGAACGGAUCACUAGUGUAUUCACCUCCGUUGUCUGUUCGAAGGCGUUUGAUCUUUCUUUCUGUUUGAGUUUCCACCAUCUUUUUCCACUUGAUGAAAAUUCCCAAUACUUCACUUUUCGCCUUCAUAGUAUACACCCAUACUCUUCGAGAGAAGUCAUCGACAAAGGUAACAAAAUAAUUCUUGCCUCCCAAAGAAGUUGUUUUGGAAGGUCCCCACACAUCAGAGUGCACAUAAUCCAAAAUACCCUUGGUAUCGUGAAUUGCAGUGCCAAAUUUUACCCUUGUCUGCUUUCCUUUGACACAAUGCUCGCAAAAAUCUAACUUGCAAACACUGGCUCCUUUUAAUAGUCCUUGAUUCAUCAGAAGAUUCAAAGAUUUUUCUCCGGCAUGCCCUAAGCGCAUAUGCCAUAAUCUGGUUACUUUCAAUUCUCGAUCAUCACUGGAAGCCACGGCCGCUACUCCAACAACUGCAUUACCUUGAUAGUAAUACAAGUUAUUAUUUUUCCGGAUUCCUUUCACCAGCACCAAUGCACCUGAAAUGAUUUUCAUCACUCCAUUAUAUGCCGACACCUUGUAGCCCAUUGAUUCUAGUACUCCCACAGAAAUGAGGUUCUUUUUCAAUUCUGGCACAUAUCGGACAUCAGUUAGAAUCUUAAUUGAUCCAUCCUGAUUCCUCAGCCGAAUUGAACCAACCCCAUUUGUUGCUAAUGUGGUCUCAUCUGCCGUGUAGACGACUCCACCUUCUUUUUCCUUGAAAUCAAAGAACCAUUCUCUAUUGGACGUCAUAUGAUGGCUACAACCUGAGUCCAAUAGCCAUGUACUAGAAUGACCAGUAGGCAUGACAGCUAAUGAAAAAUCUGAGUUUUGAUCAAUGCACUCAGAUACAUUUGAAUCCGCAACAGCUUUUUCUUUGUCAGGUCUACCCUUCAGUUUUGGACAGUCCUUCUUCCAGUGCCCUUUCUCUCUGCAAAAGGCACACUCAUCUUUACUUAGUCUGGCUCUUGACUUGGAUCUUCUUCUCGUCCCCUUUCUCUGGUUUUGUGAGCGUCCUCUAGUUACCAGAGCUUCUGCUGCUCCAUCUCUGCUAUUUUGCUUGUCUUUUCUUCUGAGCUCAUAGCUGUACAGGGCAGAGCUAACUUCACUGAGGGACACCUCAGCUUUCCCAUGGAGUAGAGUUGUUUCAAGAUGCUCAAACUCCUCAGGAAGAGAUCCCAACAACAUGAGAGCCAAAUCUUCGUCUUCAAAUGUCACAUCUAAAUUCAUCAGAUCAGUGAUUAACUGAUUGAAAUUAGUGAUGUGAUCACUUAGAGUUGUGCCAGGAACAUAAGUGAAGCGAAAUAAACGCUUCUUCAUGUUGAGCCUGUUCUGACAAUUUUUCUUCAAGAACUUCUCCUCCAAUCCAGUCCAUAAUUUAUUUGCAGAGGUUUCUUUUGAGAACACAUAUUUUUGUUCCCUUGAAAGACACGAUCGAAUUGUACCACACGCUAAACGAUUUAGCGUCCUCCAUUCCUUCUCUUCAAUCUCUUCUGGUUUCUCUUUUUCGAUGGCAAUGUCUAGACCUUGAUUAAAGAGCGCGUCUAGAAUCUCACUUUGCCACAUGCCGAAAUGACCGGUACCAUCAAAUGUCUCCACAUUUAAUUUUGUAUUCGUCAUAACAUUUCUCGCCAUAAUAGAUAAUGACGAGCUUGUUGAUGCUUGCAUUGUAGAUGAAGAUCUACUUUCGGCCAUCUCUACAAAUUAUAUUUAGUAGCUCCUAAAUGUAGAGUAACAAUAGCCCAAGAAAUCUUUUCUGAUGUGGAAGAUCAGACCAUGCUGCAACCACAGAGCAUACUAAGAAACCUCGAGCUCUGAUACCAAUUGUUGCGGAAGCCCUACCAAAGUUAAGGUAUAACGAGUAAAUUAUUGUACCUAAAAUUGCAAAAUGGUAAUUCCCAGGAAAUAUUUGGUGAGGCACACUGGCCUGCUUAAGUACCAAUUUCCUAGACAGAAUCACCUAUAUAUGCACUUAAUUGCACAAUAACUCACUACAAAUAUACCUACAAAUAUAGCUACUAAAUAGACAAUAAAAUAGAACACCAGAAUUUAACGAGGUUCGGCUAAUUUGCCUACGUCCUCGGACACUACCGACAAUUUAAUAUUUCACUAGAAGAAAUAUUACAAAGAGAGAGAAGAAAGCAAGUUAUUGGCUCUUGCUUGGUGUACUUGAAUUGGUUUGUUUGAGAGCUAUUUAUAGUUCUCAAACAACCUCUCAAAUGUUAAACUUAACCGAUGUGGGAUUUAGAAAUUUAGGCCAAAGAAUUCAAAGUCCUCAAUUUUGGCUUGAAAAAGUCAUCAAUUGAGGCUUGGCUUUGAAUUCAACAAAAGGGACAUCCCUUAUAUUUUAAAGGGACACUUGAUUGAGUGUUUAAUUAUCAAUACAAGAGAAAAAAUGAUAAAACUCAUUAUCAAUUAAUUAGUCAUAAUGCAAAGCAAUAAAUACAUAUAUCAUCAAGGAGGUCUUGGCUUAAUGACUAAGGUUGAGACCUUAAAAAUUAGAGCUCCUAGGCUCUAAUUCCCUACCCCCCUCCUUGCUUUUUAAGUCCUACCCCUUCCCUGUUAGAAAAAAAAAAAAGUUUGAGACUAGCUAUGCAAAAGUGGAGAAGCGUCUGAAAAAUUAGUGAGAUAACUAAAUAAAAUAAAAUAAAAUGAGAACAAAAAGAUGUUUAAUUAGUUUUUGCAUGUUUUUUUUAACACAAUUUCAAUCUAAUUCGCAUCUUCUUUCAUCCUAAAACCACUAUUUAUAAUCUAAGGGACUAUAAUGAUCCAAAUUCGAAACAUCGAGGACCAAAAGUACAAAAUCAAAGUUAUUGACAAAUGGCAAUUUAAUAUGACGGUUAGUUAUUAUUGAAUUUCCAUCAAGUGUCCUAAAUGUUCCUAAAAUCUAAAAUUUUGAGGACCAAAUUUGUUUUGGUCAAAAUAUUAAGGAGUAGCUUAGCACAUAGGCCAAACAUUAAGGUCUAAAACUGCAUUUUUUUCCUACAUUUGAAAAUGUAAAGUAUUUUUACACGGGUAGUGUACUAAAAAUGAAUCGUUUACUUAAUACUUCUUUCCACCCUAGCUUCUUAAAUGAAUAAAAAAGAACUCGUUAUUUUUCUUUUGAUAAUACGCAUUGCGUGCAUAUUUGUUUGCAUAUUCAGAAGUUAACAUGAUCCAUGGCAAUUUCAUUGUUAACAAAAUGAGAAAGGAUCAUUCAAAAAUUCAACCUAGUAAAAUAAGAACUUUGAAUUCACAGUGGUGUAUUUUAGAGUCCCCUUUUGAUCAAUCGUUUCAAGUUUUAAAAGCAACUUGGUCCCAUGCAACAUGUAUGACGGGUCAUUGCCCUUCUUUCAUCAGGAAAUGGAAAGCAGCAUUGAGAGUUAGAUAUAUCAAGGCGCCUGGUAGUUCAAUCAUGCAUCUAUGAAUGAUGCAGCUUGAUUCGACACACGUUUCAUCUAGAUGGUUCAACUAAUCCAAGAAACGUGAGGUCUUUUUCUGUAGCGGAUCAGCGCAGAUAAAUUUUCGGUUAUAAAAAAUAAAAAACUAAAAUCUUGAGUUGAAUAUAAAUAAGAAAUUGGCUCCUCCACAUUUUUUUUUUUGCCUUUGAAAGACAAUCACGAAUGAUCAUUCAUGUUUGAGAGAGAAUAUUUCAUUCAACUUGAUAAAAUGGACACCCAAGAAAUGAGUUCAAGAGGGCUAUUUGUAACGUUUAAGUCAAGAAAGUAAUAAGCUAAUGCUAACAAAGAAAUACUCAAAUUACAAGCGGAAUGAAUGUCACAAGUCUGUGCUCUUCUUUGUGUAGAAAGCUAGUGCAAAAGAGGAAAAAAAUUGCAAGACAAUUAAAGCACCACCCUGUCCAAAUCAAAACAAGAUUCUGCAUUUGUAUUUUGAGGUUUCUUGGGCCCAAUUUCUUAGUUUGUGAUUGAAAAAAGAAAAUUCAUAGGCCAAAGGGAAUUGAUCUAAAUGAGGUUCAAAACUUUUGUACUUGUAACAUUUUUUUGUUUUGAGGGAGGGUUGGAUUUGGUGGUGAGGUGGGAGAGAUUGUAAGUAAUAGGUCAUGAAUUCAAACUCCCAUUUACAAAAAAAAAAAAAGAUGUUUUUUUUUCUUUCCGGUUAUUACAUUGCAUAUCAUAGUGAAGCUGGACUAUAGGUUACAAUGUCGUAUAUCUCCCAUCGAGUAGAUAAUUUUAUUAACUAAAAUUGGAGCUGCUUAAAUUACCAAUGUCUAAUUUAAGUCCAAUCUUUUACCCUUAAUUUUGCUUUCAAGUAUAUUCAAUACCUUUAAUCACACCAGCAAAAUUGCUGAUUUAUCGUCCCGCAGAUCACUGUUUUCAUUUGAAAAGCAUUCUUCUAGAGAUUGCCAUUGUAAUGCCUUGUAUACGGGCCAAAUACAAUUUAUUCCCCUGUGGUUUAGCGCUUCUUCACAUAAUCCCCUAUGGUUUCAAAAGUUUUAUAUAAUCCUCUCAUGAUUUGGAUUAAAGUGUCAAAAUGACGAAAUUUGCAUUCUUUAUCGAAAUCAACUAAAAUGUCAAAAGUAUCCCUAUGUAAAGUUGAAAAUUAUUUAUUAACCGCGGGGGGAGGGGGGUUAUAUAUAUAUAUAUAUUGAAAAUUAUAAAGGGGUUAUAUGGUAAAACAUUUAUCUAUAAAGGGGUUAUAUGGUAAAACGUAAAAUCAUAUGGGGUUGCAUGCAUAUUAUGUUUAUAUAUUUUGGUUAUUUCAAUCAUUUUAGUUUUUAAAUAAGAGUAAUUUUGACAUUUCAUGGGUUCCGUUACAAAUGAUCAUUUCUGUCAUUUUGACACUUUAAUCUAAACUAUGAGAGAGUUAUAUAUAACUUUUGAAACUAUAGGGGAAUUAUGUGAAAAUUGCUAAACUACAGGGGAUAAAGUAUAUUUUGCCAUUUGUAUAUUGCUGUUUUCGAUUGUCUUGUUUGAUAUGACUAUUCGAAAAUCAUAGGUGCCAACAAUUAUUUCUGCAAUCCCCUUUUUCUUUUAUGUUUAUAAAUUUGAAAUUUAUCAUUCAAGCUACAAUAAUUAAUAUGUAAAAGUAUUUUAUUUCUAAAUUUUACAUGUACUAAGAAAAUUAAUGUAUUACUUUUAGGAUAAAUUACAUAUAACCCUCCUGUAGUUUCAUCUAUUGUCAUAUGACCCUCUUGAACGUUUCAAAAUACCCACUUCAUCCUUUAUGGUUUUAUGUAACGUGAAAAUUUGACGAAAAAUAACAUAUGUAAUGCAGUUAGUUGAAAUACGAAUGAUGCUCUUACUUAAGUGCUAAAUCAAUCAAUGGUUUAACCACCUUGAAUAAAACUAUAGGAAGAUUACAUGGAUAAAUGGUAAAACCAUAAGGGGGUAUAUAAGAUAUUUAUAUAAAUCAUAAGGGUGUUAAAUAGACAUUAAGAUUUUAUCACACGCGCUUUUAAAGUGCGUUUGGUAUAAAUGCCAUAACUGAUUGUGCAUUUCGUCCAUUUUUCGUUUUAUAUAAAAUCAUAGGGGAAUUAUAUCACAAUUUUAAAAUUUUAAGAGGGGUCAUCUGGUGUUGUGUAAAAUCACAAGCGGGUAAUAAGUUAUUUACCCUUAUUUUUAUUUAUAAAUAUUAUUCAAAUGAUUCAUCGAAUCAACCACUUAUCCAUCUAUUGACCCAGUGACCCGUCUAUCCGCUCCUUUUUUAAGUUUUCUCGGGCCAACUUGAAUGACUAUGGAGAUUUGUGUUCAUCAAAGAGAGUUGUAUGACAUCAACCAAAGGACCUAUUUCAAAAGGACACUCUUCACAAUUCUUUAGUUGUUGAAUUACUAAGAAAGCAUCCCUUCAAGAAAAAAAUUAGUGAUCCUCAAAAACUCAACUAAUUCGACAGCUUCGUUGGUUGCUAUUGCUUGUGCAACCUAAGCCGUACACAAUCCCCUGAAAACUCUUAGCAAGGCCAGCGACGAUGACACUAUCAUUGUCACGACUAACAGCUCCCCCGAAGCUAAUUUUGAAAUAAUUGCAUGGUGGCGACAACUAAUGCACAUAUAUCUCGAUAUCACUUUAGUCUCUAGAUUCUAAAUUUGGAUACUUUAAUUCCUAAAUUGUAUGUCGAUUCCUAUUUUGGAUGUCCAAAAUCCAUUUUUCCCUCAACUUUUGGAAUUUUUUCUGGGCAUAGUUUGAUCUGAUUUUGCUGCUGUACCCUUGCAACAUGCAACCAUGCUGUUCAAGUGACUAGUAUUCCAUUAAUUUUGAGAUUCUGUUAAAGAUUGUACUUAAAUGCGAUAAUUUUAAUAGUUUGGGGACUAAAAUAUCCCAAUUUAUAAUUUAGGAACUAAAAUAGGAAUUGAGAUACAGUUCAAGGGUGUAAAGUGAAAUUAAUCCGAAAAAAAAUGUAAAACCCAAAAUUUAGGAGUGCCCAUACAUACAUGUAUGUUUUAUUACAUGAAUUUGUUGUCUGAGCAUUUACCUUACCAAUUAUAAUUAAAACUUGCACAGUUAAUAAGCCUCAAAGUUGUGUCAAUUCAAAUUCCUCAACCACUUAGCCUCUAUAUUGUUCGGACAUUUUCACUUUACCCUGCUCUAUUUAUGUUCAACUCUUUAUUUUACACUAGAAUAGCUGUGUCAGAGCAUUAUAAGCUUUUCUUUAACACAAAGUUGUUUGGCAUUAGAUUAAGAAUGUUAUGUUUGCUGUAAAUAUGGCAAGGUCUAAAUAAUGAGAAGACAUUAACAAUCUUUAAUUUUACAGUUCCAGUCUUGCUUGCACAGAAUAAUUUAUUCUUUACCAUUUGUAUGCCAUACCAUUUCACGUUUUUCCAAACCAUGUAGCAAGUCACAGAAAAGAUGAAAAAUUCCAUUCAGAGCAAGAAAGGAAACAGCUUGACAAAAACACAAUACAUCUUCUGUUUCAAGCAAGCCAAAUUUAUCCCAGAGGUUCUAUCAACAAAGACCAGAAAGUUUACAGCCAGGCUGGAUUCUUUAAAGGAGUAACAACAGCCUUCACCUGUAAAUAGUUCUGUAGGCUAUAAAAUCCUUUUUCUCUCCCAUGGCCGCUCAUUUUGUAGCCACCAAAAGGAAUUGCAGCAUCAAAGACAUCAAAACAGUUAAUCCAUACUGUUCCGGCUCUCAGUCCUCGCGAUAACGUGUUUGCUGUGUCGAUGUUCUUCGUGUAAACUCCUGCUGCUAGGCCAUAUCUUGUGGC